UUUUUUUGUAAUAAAGCUUAAAGAUAAAAUCUAUGUUAUCUAAAAAAUUUAGAAAAAUUAAAAAAUUAAAUUAAGAUCUAUGAUUUUCUAAAAUUUGAAGAAAAAAAUCUUUUGCAAGAAAAAAAUGUUUUGAAAGGAUUUUGAUACAAUUUGGGUAUUUUAUGAAAAAUUAAGGGAUAUUUGGAAGGCAAGACUUUAUAUAUAUGUUGAUUAUAGAGACAUAGAGCUAUAAAAAAAUUAUGAUAUAAAGAUGGAUAUUUACAAUAAGAUUAUGGAUUUAAUUUGAAUUUAUAAAAAAUCAAACUUAUUAGCAAAUAGUUAGUUAUGAUUUGAUAUAGUAAAGGAUGUUAGGCCAUUUCUAAAUACUUUAGAAAGCCUUAUGUAUAAAGCUUCUUAAAUGUAAAAGGAUUUUAUCAACAGAAUAAAUUUUGAUAUUAUUAUAUUUUUUUGGCUUUUAUAAUAAGAAUAAAUUAUUUAUUAAAAUUUUUCUAAUAUAUUAAAACUAAACUUUCUACAAUUAAGUAUCUAAUAUAUUCUCAAAUAGAAAAUCAUGCCAUAUCACACUGUAUAUAUAGAUCACAAGAACCUUUAGUACUUCAUGUUGAGACUUAUUUUGAAUUGUCACUAAGCUUGUUGGAACAUGUCUUUAUGUCAAGGAUAAAAACUUGAUGAAAAAAAAUAAUCAAAUAAGGUUCUUUCAAAGAAAUAUGAUAGAAUAGAAAUAGAGUAGUAUGUAUAUUAAAAAAGAAACUAGAAUGGCUAUUGCCAAAAGACAAGGAAAUUAAAGACUCUUGAAACUAGACUAGUAACAAGAAAGGAAUUGAAAAAAGUGAAAAAGGCUUCUUUCUUGCCUUUAUAUAUACUAUCUACCUAGGAUAUAUGUGGCGAUAUUCUAUAGGACCUCCAAAAAUGUGUUGACUUUGCAUGAUACGUAUCUUAACUUGUAAGGCAAGUUUUCUAUAUAGAUACCAUAUAGUUAGUUUGUUCUGCAAGCUAUCAAUACAUAAGGCACGUGAUUGGCUUAUUGACCAAGUUAUUAACCUACUAAUUAAGUAUAAACACAUGUAAAGUCAAAAAAAUAUCUAAUAAGCUUCUAAGAAGCUUUCUUAGAAGGUAUUAUAAAAUUAAUCUAUUUUUAUCUAUUUCAAUCUAUUCAUAUUAUCUACGUAACAAUUAUAGUAGAUAUAUAUCUAUGAUAUUAUCUCCCUUUCUUGGAAUGAGUUUUAUAAGGAUCUUAAUCACAUGUUGAAGAAGUCUAAGAUAUAGCAAAUCAUAUUUGCUACAUAUUCUAAUCUUUGUUUCCUUUAAAGAUAGUUGUUAGGUCCUCUCAGCUAUUAGUAAUGUCCCAUUCUAAGGCAAAAAGACUAUCCUAAGAUUUAAUCAUUGUUGAAAUCAUUUGAUAAAUUAACAAAUGAUGGCUCUUGACUUAAAUCUAUUAGUUUUUGGUUCUUUAUCUCUUUAAUGCCAUAAUUAUACAUAAUACAAUGAAGGAUAAAAUGUAGAAUGCAAUCUUUUUUAAAUUAUCUUUCUUUUAUAAUAAAGAUUUGCUAUCCUUUAUCUUGAUUUUGAUAGAUGUUGUGAAUGAAAAUCUUUAAUCUUCUCUACUAUAUCUAUAAGUUUUUUUACUUGCUCCCAUGUAUAUUUAUUAAUAUUAUAUCCAUGCCAAUAAAUAAAAUAUUUUAACUAAUAUCAACACCAUCUUGGAUCUAAGACUUCUUCUAUCUCAAAUUCUUCAUUAUUAUCUACUUUUAUAGGAGGUGGUGGUAUUUAUCUUCUUCCUAAGAUAUUCAAUAUCUUAUAGGCUCUAAAAGAGAUAUGUAAAAUAUAUGAUGGAUUUUCAUAGACUUCGAUAGAUAUAAUUGAUAAGUAAUGGGAUUGAUUUAUUCACAAAUAAGAAAUGAUCAAAAUCUAUAAUAAUCUAAUUUGUCACAAUGACGAAUAGUUCUAAUAUUACAACAAAGUAACCAUACCUUAUCACCAACAUGGAAAUGAGGUUGUUUUUUGUGAUAAGCAUCCGCAUUGCUCUUUUUUUGUUCUUGAGCUUCUUUUAGUUGCACCUUUAUUAUUGUAUGUAGCUCAAAUAAAUGAUUUGCUAAAUCUUUUGCUACAAGAUUAUCAACUUUUAAAAAGUCAAAAGCAUCAAGUCAUAGAUGAUAAUCAUAAUAAGUAAAAAAAGAUGUUUGUGGCAUAGAAAAAUAUACCAUAUUAUUAUAUACAAAUUCUACCAACGGCAAAGGAAUUGUCCAAUUAUCUUAGUGGUAGUUGAUGGUAUACCUCAAAUAUUGCUCCAAAACUUGAUUAAUACACUUUGUUUAUAUAUUACUUUGAGGAUGAAAAGCUAAAGAUAGUUUAAUGUCUCAUUUUAGGAUCUUAAUAAGCAUUUUUUAAAAACUUGAUACAAAUUGGAUUCUCCUAUCCGAUACAAUAUCCUUAAGUAAUUCAUCAUAAUAAUAGAUGUUAUCAUAGAAAAGCUUGGCUAUUUUUUUAUUUGUGAUAGUUUUGUAUAUAAUACAAAAUGUGCCAUCUUGGUGAAAAAAUCUACUAUCAAGAAUAUAGAGUCAUAAGAACUUCAAAUUAAAAGGUUUGUAAUAAAAUCCAUAGAAAUAGAAGACCAUGGUUGUUUUGGAAUAAAUUAUCGUUGAAAAAGUCUAUAGGGUUGAUGAUAAGGAAUUUUUGACUUUGAACAAAUUUCACAUGAUUGAAAAAAGUAUUUCAUUGCCUUCUAUAUUUUUUUCUUCUAAAACUCUCUAGAUAUAAGUUUUAAAGUUUUCUUGUAUCCAAAAUGUUUAACCGUUGAAAAAUCAUGAUAUGCUUAAAGAAUAUAUAAACGUGCUUUUUUUUUGGAAUGUAUAGGUAUUCUUCGAAAUAGAGUAGGUUAUUUUUUAUUCAAAUUUGGAAGCAUCAUGAUACUUAAAAGAAAGAUUUUUGAUAUCAUAAAUAAGAACAUCAAAGGAUAUGCUUGAUUAAAUUUGCUUGACAAGGAUUAAAUUAAUAAUUAAUGUUAAUUUUAUUGCUUCAAGAUGAAUGUAUUCUAACUUCAAAAGAAUCAUUCUUUUUUGAUUAAAAGAUACAUCUCUUUCUUUUAGUGUAAGAUAAAAACUUCUAAAAAGAGCAUCUAAUAAAUCUUCUUAUUUUUUGAGUUGAUAAGUAAACUUAAGAUCAAAUCUUGACAAAGACAUGCUCCAAUGGACUUGGCAAUGAUUCAAAAGACAUGAUGAAAUAAAAUAUUCAAGAUUCUUAUAGUCAAUAUAGAGAUUGAUUGGAUUAAAAAUCCCUUCUUGAUAAUAGCACCAUUUUUGAAACAAAUCGAUAAUUGCAAGAAGUUCUUUCUUAUAAAUCUUAUGGUUGAUCUUGGCUAUUAAAAAUUUUCUUGUAUGAAAAGCUAUUGGAUGAAGUUUAUCAUCUAUUUCUAUUUGUGAUAAUACGACAUCCAAAAAAAAGUCUAUUGCAUCUAUUUCUAUAAUAAAUAUCUUUAAAAACUCAAUGCAAUAUAAGAUUGGUGCAAAAAUAAAGGCUAUCGUUAAAGCUUCAAAUAUUGCUUUUGCUUCUUGAUUCUAUUGAAGUUUGUCUUUAUAAGUCAAAUGUGUAAGUAGAGUUGCAACUUGAGAGAAGUUCUUGAUGAAGAUUUGGUAGUAAUUGGCAAAUCCUAAAAAACAAUAGACAUUUCUUAUUGUUUUCAAGAUCUUUUAAUCCAUAAUAAUUUGAAAUUUUUUAAGAUUCAUCAUAAGUCUAUCAUUUAAAUAAUGUAUCUUAAGAAAUCAACCUAAGUAAUUUAGAAUACACACUUUUUUAUCUUGGCAUAAAGUCUCGAAUCUCUUAAUUUUUGUAAUACAUAACAAAUAUGAAAUUCAUGUUCUUUUCUAUUCUUAGAAUAGAUUAAGAUGUUAUCUUAGAAAAAAACAACAAAAUCAUCUAAAAACUUUUAAAAAAAAUUAUUUAUUACAUGUUGGAAAGUUGCUACUAUAUUUGUAAGUCCAAAAGGCAUGAUAUUAUAAUUAAAAUAUCCAUAUUUUUUAAAAAAUAUAAUCUUUGAUUUAUCUCAUUUUUAAUGCGUACUAGAUUAUAUGUUCCUUGUAGAUCUAUUUUUGUAUAGAUAUUAGCUUGAACCAAUUGAUCAAAAAGUCUAGAUAUCAAAAGUAGUGGGUACCUAUUUUUAAUGGUGAUUUUGUUGAAUCCUCAAUAAUCAACACACAUGUGCAACGAUCCAUCUUUUUUCUUCUUAAAUAAAAUUACAGCUCUUGUUAGAGAUUUGAAAUGGCGCAUGAAAUUUUUGGCUAUAUUUUCUUUGAUAAAUUCCUUAAAUUCAGCAAAUUCAUUUUAAGAUAAACUAUAAAUUGGUCCAAAUGGCAAUUGAGCUCUUUCUUAAAUGUCAAUUGAGCAGUUAUAGGGACAAUAUUCAAAUAGAGUAUCUACUUUUUUUUUUUCAAAUAUAACUUGAAAAUCUUGAUAAUAGCUUGCAAUGCCACUUGAAGUCUUUUUACCAUUAGAGAUAAGAAUAACAUAAAUGACACAAGAUAAUCUUUCUUUUGUAGCAUACAAAAAAGUUCUUAUAUCUAUAAAUAUAAAUUUAAUUGUAUUAGACUUAUGACUUUUUACUUGAUCAAUUAUACUCUUAGUUAUACUUUUAGAAAAGUCAAGACUAUAAGAAAUCCAAUCUAUUUUUGAGUUAUAUCUUUAUAACCAUGAUAAACCUAAAAUAAUUAAAUUAGAAGGAGAUUUAAUGAUAUUAAAUAUUACAAAGCUACUAUAACCAUUAGUUGUUACUUCUAUACGAAGGAUUUCAUGAGUAAUAUUUCCUGAAGAUAAUGGACGACCAUCUAUGACUGUUAUUUGAACAGGUUUAAUUUUCUUCACUAUAGGUAUGUUAUGACUUUUAGCAAAUUCUUCAUCUAAGAAACACGUUGAGGUUCUUAAAUCUAAUAAGACAAAGGCUUUUUGAUGUUUAGGUCCUAAAAAAAAAUUUAUUGUAAAAUACAAAGAAGAUUCUAAAGAAAGAAUAGGGCCUUCAGUAGGUGUUGUACAAGGCUCCAACUACACGAUUCCUAUUAUAGCUACAUAAAUUUUUUUUUGGACAUAUUAUCUUCUUUGAUGGUUGUAUUUUUUUUUUGUGGUUGUAUUUUUUCUUUAGAUAAUAUUAAGUACUAUAUUUAGAUUCUUUAUAAUACAAAUACAAUCCUUUCUAAUAACAACGAGUCUUUUCUUGCUUAGUAAGAGGUUUAAAAUAUAUUGCAUCAAUUUUUAUAUCUUCUAUUUUUAAAUAUAUGUGUUAAAAAAAUAUUUGUAUUAUCAUUGAAUUAUAAUAAUAUUGAAGUACACUUUUGUGAUUCUUAAAUUAAAAUUUAAAAAGUCGAUUGUCACAACAAAAUCAAUUAUUUGAUUCAAUGUUUGAAGAUCAAAUAAGUUGAGCAUCAAUUUUUUUUACCUCAUAUUAUAAUUCAUAGAAAAAUUGGCUAACAAAUGCAGCAUCAUUUCACUUGAUAUCAGUUGCAAGUUAUCAAAAUUUUGAAGCAUAUAACAUUAUCAAUCGAUUGUCUUAUUGUAAAAUAUAGAUCUUAUUGAUUGCACACAAAUUACAUCAUAUUCUCUAUAUAUGGAUUGAAAAUUUGCAACAAGAACCUCUAGAUUAUCUAAUAUUAGAUCUCAUUCUUCAAAAAAAGAUAAAAACCAUGAUAAUUCUGAAUUUGAAAGGAGUAUAUCAAUGAAUCUAGUAAGCAAUUUUAAAAUUAGAUAGUUUUGGAAUUAAUGUCUAAUCACAAAUUGUACUUAAUUGAUAAAUCUUCAAGAUUUAGAUCUUAUGCCAUCAAACUUCUUAAGUAAUGCAAUCUUUGGUUGUCUAAUAUUGAAAGGAUGUUCUAUCAUAUGAAAAGGGACAUGAUUUGGUGCAGAUGUUGAAGCAGCUCUAAUCAUCUCUAUAUUUUUGUUCCUUUUCAUUUUAAUUGCUCCUUGUGGCGGUAAAUUGAGUUGAUGCAUUGCAAGCAUUAACUCCUUCAAUUGUUUUUGUAUUUGUGCUAUUGCACUCUUCAUUUUAAAAAGCUCUACCAUGAUAAUACUUAAAGAAAGGAAGAUGUUUGAUACUGCUUAAGACAAAUAAAAGAAAAGACUUCAAAAUAAAGAAAAAAAAAUACUAAAGAUAAUAUCAAUUUAAAAGAAGAUAAUCUAUAAUCUCUAAUAUGCUAAAGACUUAUUUACAAAAAAAGAUAAUCUACUUUUAAUUAAAAAAAGAUAAAUCUUUUAAAUUAAAAGUACAUUCUUGUCAAUUUGUCAAGGAUAAGAAUUCAAUGAAAAAAAAUAAUAAAAUAAGACUUUUUCAAAGAAAUAUAACAAAAUAGAAAUAGAAAAGUAUAUGUACUAAAAAAGAAUCCUAAAUAGUUAUUGCCAAAAGGUAAGAAAAUUAGAUACUCUUAAAAUUAGAUUAGAAACAAAAAAAGAAUUAUCGAGAGUAAAGAAGGCUUCACUCUUGCCUCUAUAUAUACUAUCUAUCUAAGAUCUAUGUGGCGAUAUUCUAUAGGACUUCCAAAAACAUGUUGCCUUUAUAUGAUACAUAUCUUGACUUGUAAGGCAAGUUUUUUAUAUGGAUGCCACAUAGUUAGCUUUUCCCACAAGCUAUCAAUACAUAUGAAAUAUGGUUAGCUUAUUGAUCAAGUUUCUAAUCUAUUAAUCAACUACAAACACAUGUAAAGUUAAAACAAUAUUUAAGAAGCUUUUAGAAAGUUUUUUAGAAUGUAUUAUGAAAUUAAUCUACUUUUAUCUACUUCAACCUAUUCAUAUUACCUAGGUAAAAAUUACAAUAGAUACAUAUUCAUGAUAGUUUAUUGAGAUUUAAUUUUAAGAUUACUUGUCAACCUAAAAAACAACAAGGUUUAUUUGAUGUCCUUUUUAGACGUUCUUACCUUAUACCAAGGAAAGAAGAUGUAUUUUAUAAUCAAUAAAGAAUAAUUCUCUUGAAACCAAGGUAUUUUCACCUCUAAGUAAUAAAAUCAACAUUGACUAUUGAUUCAAUCUUUGUCAAGCAAAUUCAAUCAAGUAUGUUGUCUAAUCCUUUUAUCUAUGAUAUGAAAAAUAAUUCUUCUAAAUUUUAUGAUACUUCUCAGUUCAAGUUCAAAAAUAAUCUAUUCUAUUUUAAAGGACGAUUAUACAUUUCAGAAGGUGAGGCACAAUUACAUCUUUUUCAAGCUCAUCAUAACUUUCCAACAGUCAAACAUUUUGAAUACAACAAGACUUUGGAACUAACAUUGAAAGUUUUUUGAUGGCCUCAAAUAUAGAAGGUAGUCAAAGAUUGUGUACAAUUAUGUGAUAUUUGUUGAAGAUCCAAAACUAUUUGCUAUCAAAUUUAUAGCUUUCUAAAAGCUUCAUAUAAAUCACAUUAAUUUUACAUGUAUUUGUAGUUAAUUAAUAGACUAAAAACUUGGUCAACAAAUUAACCAUAUAUUAGUAGCUUGCAAAAUAAUCUAACUAUGUGGUGUCUAUAUAGAAAACUUACCUUGCAAAUUAAGAUAUAUUUUUUGUAAAGUCAAAAUGAUUUAGAGGUCUUAUAAAACAUUGCUACAUAACUACUAAUUAAGAGUAUAUAUGGAGGCAAGAGUGAAGCCUUCUUCACUCUUAUCAAUGCCUUUUUAGUUCUUAAUCUUAUUUUAAGACUUUUUAGUUUUUUUUCUUUGAUAAUAGCUAUUUUAAUUUAAUACUAUAUUAUCUUCAAGUAAUUUUUUAGUCCUUUUGAGUAACCUAAGAGUGUAUUGAAGAUUUCUUUCUUUAAGAUUAAUGUCCUUAAUAAUGACACUUACACAAAUCUAUUAUUAGCCACCAUGACCAUCUUUAUUGUGAUACCAAAUUUUUUUUCAAUCAUUGUUUGCUUACCAUCAAUAUUAAUUUUAACUAGUUGUGUUGUCUAUUUUAGAGCAAUGGCAUUCAAAAGUUUCACCCUGAAAUAAAGAUUACUUCAACUAUUUUGCAAUCAAAAAGCAAAAUGGCAAGAAGAUAGAGAUUGUAUAACUUUGAUUGAUGCUCAAAUUAAACUCAAAAAAUAAGAUAAGAAUUACCUUGCUUUGAGCUGUUGUCAAGAGCAAGCAAAAAGGCCUAUCGCAUGUAGUAGAGCUAAGUGAUUUUCUAUAAGCUUACAAUACAAACAUUCUUACAAAUAAAGCUGCACAAUUAUAACUACAUUUAUUGAAGCAACUCAUGUGUGACACAAUCUUUGUGAAAUUUACAAGACAUAUUGUCAUUUAGAACAAGACUACAUAUGUGAUUAAGUUAAUGAUAAGAUGAAACAAUUAUGAAAAAUUGAUCUUUAAAUUAUAUGCUUUGUAAUUUAGAUCUUGCUUUGCAUUAAAUUUAAUUUAGUCAUUGUUUGCAUCUUUAAACAACUUAAAAAUUAAUAAUGCCCAUUCAUAAGUCAACAUAGAUUCUUUAUUAUUUAUAUUAAAUAAUAUAUCAUUAAUAACCACGUCUAUAAUAUUAAAAUUUAUUGUGAACAUAAAUACCUUCUUGGUCUCUAAAUGAAUUGUAAGGGUGUUUUUAAAAUUUACUUGAUCAAACAACUACUUCUUCGAGAUAUCUGAGAGGACAUUGUAUUCUAUCUAUGCUUUGGCAUCUUGAUAUUUUUAUAUGUGCCAUAAUAUUGUCUACAAAGAAAAGAAUUGAAAAUAUUUUCACAUUUAUUGUCUACUUCUGCUUAAGUCCUAUGAAAUUGACCUCUUCACAGUUGAGCUUUUCACAUAAUAAGGAUCAUGUUGUCAUAUUAUAAUUAUUUAUAGUAUGUAAAAAUUUAUUAAAAUAGAUAAUAUAUUUAUAAAUAUUGAUAUACUUUAGAAUAGUUAAUAAGUUAAUUUAAAGAGAGUUGAUGUAAGAAAAUUUAUUUUGAAGUUUACUUAUAUUGAUUAUAGUAUUAAAAUUAUAUAGGAUUUAGAUAUUUAGUAUAAAACUUAAAGAAAAGAUUGGAGGUCAAAGAUAAAGAUCCAGACCUCUAAAAAACUUAUUUAGAGGGAUGAAAUCAAGGUAUGGAUGGAUGAAGAUAAAAGAUAAAAAUCUUCAUCCAUAUCGGUGGAAGGCCAUGUCCAAUAGGUAUUCAAUAAGCUAUCUACCACUAUAAGACGGAUUUUGAAAACUUUAGAAGGAACAUUUGAGAAUCAAAAAUAAGAGUUGUAAGGUUUAGGAUAUGAGCUACAAUUCGUAUACAAAUUUUAUAGGAUUUGGAAUUAGGGUGAUGAAGUUAUAGUUGUUUGAAGUUAAGAUAUUUUUUUAAGAUAUAUUGUUGUUCUUUUGAAGAUACAAGGAAUUUUAUGAUAGAUUUUGGAGAUUGAGAGGUGCAAAUGCAAGAGUGAUUUUAAGAUCUACAUCUAUUAUGAAAUUUUUCUUACAUUUAGAAUUUGUAUGAAGAAGUUAUAGAGCGUUGAAGACAACACAUGUAACUCAGAGGCAGUAAGUGAGUCAUUUUAUUGAUAGUAAUGGUCAGAGCUAUAUCUUCAGUUUUCAAAUAAAUUUUUAGCUCAAAAUUUUCAAAAAUAUGUGUUAUUAGGUUAAGAAGCUAUAUAUCAAAGUUUUAUGAUAUUUGAGUACUUAAUUUGUGAGAUAUGAAGAAAAUUACUCACAAGUAUAUGUAAGCAAGGAUUUGAAGUUAUUAUUAGAAUUUUGGCAAUAUCUCAAGAUCUGUAAGAAAUUUGCAAUUGAAAUUUGUUGUGGUAGUUGUUAAAAAUACAUCAGUACUUCAUGUAAAAUUUUGAUAUGUCUAGAUGGUCCAAUUGUAAGAUAUGAGCUGUUGAAAUUUGGAAAAAAUUCACCUUAAAGAUGUAUAAGGUUUUAUAAUAUUUUUAUCACAUUUUUGUUGACCUUUGGUACAUAGAACUUAUGUAUUGAUAUAAUUGCUUCUAUAGGGAUAACUUUAUAUAUAGACUUGGUAUUUUUUUUAAUCUAGAGGCUUGGUUAAAGAAUUAGUGACAACUAAAAGUCCAAUGCUUUUUUAAGACAAAUUCUCUACUAUGACAAUGUUGGUAGAACUUGGUCAAUGUUUUCACAUCAUGGAUUUGGCACAAGGCCAAAUUUCGUCUCCAUAGAUGAUUUAUAAAGGAUCUCCAAUUCCUUUUCCAUGGCAAAUUUAAUAUGCAUAUCGUGAUGUGACUGCUAUAAUUGUAAAUUGAUAUUCUUUUGCAUGGAUUACAUCAUGCAGUGCCUCCUCCAAUCAUGUGUAAGAAUACUGUUGGGGCCUUAUUUUAGAGCAUGUUGCUAAGCUUAUUCUAAGGAAAACAGGGUUUUUAUGGAAAAAGCCCUAAUUUGAAGAGGCCUGCUCAUGGAUGAUAGUGUCAAUAAAGCUGAUAAUGGACCAACAUUUCAGUGUUUUGCAAGGCUUUUCAGGAUACAUGUGAGCUCUCUCAACUUUUAGAUACAUCGAUGAGUGGGACCAUGAGUAAUGAUGAGGUCCACCUAUAUGUGCAUUAAACUCAACACUUGGUAGAUUUUGCUGACGACAAAUAAGGCAGAUGCUCUUCAAUCGCGUUCAACCCCUAGAAGUCAUGAAUUAAGCCUGUCCGUGGUGUGGUCAUGAAUAACAGCACGAGUUUGGCUCACCUUCACAGAUGACUCAAUGGUUGAAGGAAGAAUUGUGUGAACCAGUCGUAACUGUUUACUACGGUGGCGAUUUCCACGCCACCGAAAAACCUAUGUGUUGACACACCCUUGUUCAAGUAUGAGGUGUCCAUGUGACAAAAUAUCUGGAAAGAAGCAACCCCUAGCUAGGUUCCGAUCAACCAGUGGUGAAAGAGAAUCAUCUGGCUAUUCCCUGGACACUGACGUAAUGUGUUUCACAUCAUCUGACUCGGUCUGUACAGUGCUUUCAUCCCGGAUUUAUGUUCAUGGUUGCAUAUCCAUACUCACAAGGCAUUGAUGUCUGAUAUUAAUUUCUUCGAAAGUAUCUUCUCUUUACAAGUUCAUUGUAAAGAUCCCCUAGACCCCAAUACUAUCUUAAGAAGACAAGUGCAAGGUUUUAGUGCUUAUCAAGCAAUCGAGGAGUUCGUUGGUGGGAAUGUUGACCACAAUUGACCGAUCAGAAUCGAACGGCCUCGAUAACACAUGGACAAUGUAGUUGUCAUGCUCUCCACGCUUCAAGCAGCCUUUGUUGGAUGACGCAGCACACAACUUUGCUCAUGAAUUCCCCUAGCGAAGAAGAAGCGUGUGACUGGGGCUAUGUAGCUGACGAUGUGCUGAGUCCUACCUCGAAGUCCGCAGGAGUUGCGCGCUUCUGAAAACCACCCAGAUUUUGCAACAACGUCGAUGAUUGAACAAAACACGAAUGAACAUUUCUCGAAAUAGCUUUCCACCUCCCAAACGGUAGACUCCUCCUCGUCUGUAAAAGUUGCUUUCGACCCAACCCGACAUCCGUGAGGGUGAAUGUAAAAACAAGGGAUGGCAGUGAAACAAUUGCUCGUAAACAACUGCAGGGCCGUCACCAUGUGAAGAAGAGCCCGGGAGCGACGACGACCUGGUGAGUGUGGGCCCAUUUCGAACCCGCUUCUUUUGUUCCCUAGUGGCCCUCGUGGCUCUUCACUCUCUCGCUGCGGCGGCUCCUUUGCUUCUGAGCAGUCCCCCUUGCGUCUGUUUCUCUUUCCUCUCUUCCGGUAGACUGCAAUCUUCCCCUCUAGCUCAUUGUAACUCUCCUCUCUAGUAUUCAUCUUCGGGAGAUCCUGUUCAGCCACCAUGACCGGGGGUGAUGCUAAGCCAGGCAAGGCCAUCCCGCUCUACGGCACCUUCGCUGCUUCCGCAUUCAGCGCUUGCUGGGCUGAGGUGCCGACAUUUCUUCCUCUAGAUUGAUCCGGUUUGAAUUUCUGAAGCUGGUUUGGGUUGCGUUGAUUCGGAUGGAUCGGAUUUGCGCGUGAGGGUGUCUUAGUCGAGCGUACUCUCGUUAUUGUGGGUUUUCUGUGGAUUAAUAACCUUCUGAUUUAUUUUUAUUUUUAUUUUUAUUUGGGGGGGGGGGGGGUGUGAGGCUGUCAUUGCGUUUCGUAGUUUGAUUGUAGAAGAGAAAUUGAAUAUUUGCUAGAGGAUGGAUUUUUCUUCAGAUUUUUUUGUUCAUACAGAGUUGGGGAGUGUGUGUAUUUAUUUCAUUCGCAUUCUCUGAUAUUCCAAACGAUGACCUGAACUUGAAAAUGCAACCAUAAGUUCGUUUGUGAGCAAUGGGUGUAUAGCUUCUUUUUUUGUUUUAUUUUUAUUUAUUAUUUGUGUUUUCCAGUAGUGUGAGAAAUAACAAGGCAGUUGAUGACGGCAGACCUGCACCAUUCCCCUAGAUACGGCCAAGGUGAGAUUGCAGCUGCAGGGGAAAGCGUUAGCUGGUGAGGUCAAUGUCGCACCCAAGUAUAGGGGAAUGUUCGGGACCAUGGCCACCAUAGCAAGGGAAGAAGGGGCUGCCUCCCUCUGGAAGGGUAUUGUUCCCGGGCUUCACCGGCAGUGCCUCUUUGGGGGCCUUCGAAUUGGUCUCUAUGAACCGGUGAACUUUUUCUUCUUUUCAUCCAUGAGCUUACAAUGUGUUCGCUAAAUAGUCUAUUUGCUACCAUCAUGCUGAUCUUUACGCUCAUAGUAUUCAUCUAAGUCUCAUAUUGUUCUAGGUUAAGAGGAUCGCGACAUUUCUUGAAUUUGCGGUCUCUAGGCAUUUGGAAUACAUGUUUUAAGCUUGUCCAUUGACGGCGAUACGGAGAGCAAACGAGGUUUUUUGGUGGCAGGUGUCACGAUGUGCCUAGAAUUUUUAGCUUUUGGGAUAUAUUUGUCUUCAAUGUGCUAAUGUGAAUGUCGCAUGCGAACCUCGGAGAGCAGGUAAAGAACCUGUACUUAGGAAAAGACCACGUAGGAGAUGCUCCACUGUUGAAGAAGAUUGCUGCUGGUCUUACGACAGGUUGUCAUAGUUUUUCUCCUCACGUUAUGCCCUUCAGAAUUGUCAUCUUAAAUGGCAUAUUUUUGCUUUUCUUAAAUAAAUUCAGUUUCAAUAAUAUUCCUAUCUUGCCUCUUUUUCUUUUUGAUCUUUUGAUCACCUUGUGCUUGUUUCUAGAGAGGAGUUUUGAUGCUGUUUUAUGCAUGGGAUGAACUCCAGGUGCGUUGGGCAUUUGUGUGGCGAGUCCCACGGAUCUAGUGAAAGUGCGACUUCAGUCUGAGGGCAAGCUACCUCCCGGUGUCCCCCGCCGCUACAGCGGCGCUAUGAAUGCUUAUUCGACUAUUGUCAAGCAGGUUAAAGCUCCACGGCCAAUUACCAUAAAUAUUUCAAGUUUUUUUCGUUACAGUCACGGUGAUAAAUUGCUCUCGCUUGACGUGGUUGAGCAGGUAACAAGAGACAUUUUUGUGCUACGGUAUUUAAGUCCACUCUGAUUUCAUUUUCUGGUAUUUCAGGAAGGUUUCACAAAAUUGUGGACUGGGCUUGGUCCAAACGUUGCUCGUAACGCUAUCAUCAAUGCUGCCGAACUGGCCAGUUAUGACCAAGUCAAGCAGGUGAGACGUCUUUCCUAUCCCAGUUAUUUUUGAUGAAGUGCUUUGUUGGCUGCCCCUCCUUUUCGGAAAGUUUAAGUUGUUUGCAUAUCCAGGGCAUAUACCUGCAAUUGGCGCUUCCAUUUUAGAUUGUGAUUUCGGAUGUUCGAAAAGCACUUUCAGUUUACUAAUAUGGCAUGUUGCGCUUUGCAGACAUUGUUAAAACUUCCUGGUUUUACGGACAACGUUGUUACUCACAUCCUUUCUGGAUUAGGUGCUGGCUUUAUCGCUGUCUGUGUGGGCUCUCCUGUUGAUGUGGUAAGUGGCUCUCUGCUGUUGUUUGGGCUACACUGAGUGGAAUUAGUUUUCGGAAUUGUCCAGAAGAUGGUACAUUUUAGACUCUUGAUUUCAGAGAAAUUUUACUUGGUUAACAACAUGGCGAAAAUGCCUGGUCUUUUGGUUUGUGUUUUAAGUGUACUAAAAGGGGCCUCAUCCCUUUCAUUACUGAAGUCCGAUGGUGCAUUGUUGUGCAGGUGAAGUCCAGAAUGAUGGGAGGAGGGCAGGGUGCUUACAAAGGCACAAUUGACUGUUUCGUUCAGACUUUUAAGAAUGAUGUCCGUGGCUCUGUAUCUCUACCUCUCUUUUUAGAACUUGGUUGCAUGUCCUCUUAUCGCGACUAAUGUCGCGAUCCUUAUUGAGCAGCUUCAAACGUGCCCUCUAGUUUUAUGUUUAUAUAUAGAUAGAUAGAUAGAUAGAUAAGAAUUACACGGUGUAAAUUUGGUUCGCAGGGUGCUGGAGCUUUUUACAAGGGAUUUUUGCCCAAUUUCGGUCGACUUGGUUCUUGGAACGUCAUUAUGUUUUUGACCUUGGAACAGGUUAGUUACUUUGUGGCAUUUGAAUCUUUCCUGUCGGGGUCUUAAAAACGUUACUGAUAGUAUAAUUUGAUCAUUUUUCUUUGUGAUCAGUAGAUUAACUAAGUGUUUGGAUGUGUUGCAGACCAAGAAGGCUUUCUUCCCUAAGGACGAGUAGAACUGAGUUUCUGUUGUGAAACUGUACUGAGUUUCUUUGAUCAAGUAGGCUUAGAUGUAGCAUUGUUGUGGUGGUAUUUUUAUCAAACUGUCUUUUAGUGUUCAGCAAGGAAAGUGUGGUAAUGAAGCGAUAACUUUUCACGGCUACUUCAAUUUUGUGGCAGAAUUUAAACUUUUGGUUUAGGUGGAAUUCUCCAAUUCUUUGCAAUCUUGCAAAUCAUACAAUAAAAUCAUGAAUCUCUCUAGGUCAUUAUUUUGAAAUUGUCUUCUUUGCCCAACUAAAACUCGCAUGAAUAUAACAUCCAAAUACACAUGAAGUCUGGUUCUGACUUUUGACAAUGAGAUUCGUUUCUGGCGAUUUGAUAUCUAUUGUGUAGUCAGUUGCACCACACCGUUUUUCUGACCUUCAAGUCUGUUGACAGUUCAAAUUUCACUGAGCUCCUAUUUCAACACGAAUAUGAUCACGUCACUGACAGCAAUGGUAAACUCGAGUAUAAUUUGCCUGAAAUUUGAGCUUGCCCCGACGUUGCUCUGGGCACAGGCAUUAUUCAUUCAGACGCAAAAGAUGGUCAUGCUGAGCUCUCAAAGGUAUAAAGUUGUGGUUCUUUUUCAUUGUUUCCAUAAUUUGCUUGAGGAAGAUUGCAUCACAACACAAUGAAUAACUUAGCACCAGGUUGCUUAAACUGCGAUCAGUGCAUUGUAAUUUUGGAGUUGCAAAUGAGUGGAGGGGGCCAAAUGGCAGGCAACUAGUCUCCAUUGUUGGAACUUAUAUCUCUUAUGCACCUUGCUGUUUGAGUAAUUUUGAUUGAGUGUUAAUUUGAGGACUAAAUGGUAUUCCACAAGUACUAGUGAGUCCAAGGGAAUACUUUCCAAAGAUGGGGAUUAGAAGACUUUGUCUACCAUCAAGUCCCUGUUCUGCAUAUUUAUUAGCGAUUCAAAGAAAUACCCAUUUGAUGCAUAAAAAAACAUAAUUGAGCAAUCGAAUGAAGAGUCUACGUGCUUCAGCAGAACGUUGGAGACAACUGGCAUACAACACCAACCAUGGAAGUUCUGACAGGCUGCCUUGGAGCUUCUUCCAUUUUAUAGGGAACCAUUCAACAGUAACAGCAAAACAAAAAAUAUUUAAAACGUAGAGCUCUAGGGCAAAGAACAGGGCACAAGUCAGUAUAAGAAGAAAUUAACUUUUUUAGGUAGCCAACACUAUUUUCUUCAAUAAUGUAUUAUUGUAGGUUUUUGUUACAAACACACAUCAACAUUUACAAUUAAAAGUUUUUAUUUUUAUUUUUAUUAUCAUUGUUUUUAUCUUUUAGAAUAAUGAACAAAUAAUGUAAAUGAAUCAAGUGUUUGAGCAACAUUUGCAAUGUUCUCUUAAUUCUUACUAAGAUAGUUGAACAAUUUUCUUGCUAUUAGAAAAAAUUUCAUAUGAUGGUUUGGUAUACUGCAAAAAAAGUCUUAUUCAUCCUAAUUAUAGUUAUUAUCUUUAGUUUAAUAUUUUUGAAUUUUUAAAAUUAAAAUCUAGUUUUAAAAGAUUCAAUAAGUACAAUAGCAAAGUUUUAUACAAAAAUAAAUAUAUAACUAAAGAAAAUUCAAGAAUAACAAAAUAAAACUAAUAAAAAUAUGUUUAGUAAAGAAAAAAUUGUAAUUAAAGUUGGUGAAAAGAUAGUGUUAUCUUGUUAUAUUAUGAAUAAUAAGCUUGUUAUAACAUCAAUAAUGAUUGGUCUUGUGAUAAGUUGAUAAUUAAAGACUUAUUUUAUUUAUUAUUCAAAAAAAAAUUAAUCUAAUUUCUAUAUUGUUUGCAAUAAUCAUAGUCAAUAAAGAUUUAUCCCAUAUUUUAAGAAUCUUUAUAAAGUCUUAUAUCAUAAUAAAUAUAUUGAAAAUAAAAUAAAAUAUAGCCACAUUAUAUUGGAAUAGAUAACAAUCUAAAUUUCAAAAUAGAAGAAAUUUUAGAUUUAGGACAUGAACAUAAUAUUAGCAAACAUUAACAUAGAUUGAAAUAGAACAUUUGAAACUAUUUUAUAUUGGUAUGAAUAUAAUAUUAGCAAACAUAUACAAGAGCUAUUUGAGAAUCUUAGAAAUACAUCAAAAUUUGUUUUUUUAUUAUCAAAUUCAUUUGUUAAAACCAAUGAUCAACUAAUAAAAAUAAGAUGAUAUAAAACAAAGAUAUUAAAAAAAAAAAAAAAAAAAAAAAAAAAAACUUUAAAAACUUCUAUGCAAGGUGGAGAAAUUACAACUAACAUAAUUAUUUUAAUAAUUGUCAUUUGUAGAAUUUUUAAAUAAAGUGUUUAAAUUAAGAUAACCUUUAUAAAAUUAGAAUUAAAAUAAAAAUUAUUAAAAAAUAUAUCUUAUGUGCUAAAUAGAUAUAAAGAUAUAAUACUUAUAAUACCAUGAUUUUGGCCAAGUUUUUGAUAUUUAGCGAUAGUAUUUGACAUGAAUACUUUACUUAUAGCAUUCAAAAUAUAUUGUUUGAAGAUGGUUAUAAAGUCCUUAAUAAUGAUCAAAUAAUUUUGUGGUCUUAUCUUAAUAUGGAAUAUUAUCAAUAAUCCAAAGAACCUUUUAAUUACUUUUGUAUAAUAUACAAAUUAAAGUUUGUUACAAAAAUAAGAUACACUGAUCUACUAAAUUAAACAUAUUGGAUUGCAUAAUUUUUUUUUUGUUUUGAGAGGUCAUCUAAAUAAACAAAGAAUAGCCACAUGAAGAAUAUGCACAUAUCUUUGAUGCCAUAAUUAGACCAAAAGUUCUCUCAAUUGUUAUGAUUCUUAUUAUAACAUUAGACCUUAAGGCACAUUAUUAGAACAUUGUAACAAAUUUUUUCAAAACACUAAUAAGACGAAAUAAAAUUAUUUAUGUUCAACCUCUACUAAAGUAUGAAGAAUAUAAUAGUGAAGGUAAUAUAUUAAUUUUACUAUUUUUUAAGCUCUCUAUGAUUUGAAGCAAGUACUAAAACUUCGGUAUCUUAAAUUCACCAAUUAUUUUAUAUAGUUGAAUAUCAAUCAUUGAUAUUUGAUCCAUACAAACUUUGAUGUUUUUAUAGCAAGCUAUUUAUUUUGUAGAUUAAUAAUAUUCUUCAUAUUUUUUCUACCUUAUUUGGAAUACAAAAAAUAAAUGAGAUAAUAAAAACUAAGUAUCAUCAUAAAGACAUAAAAGAAAUUUAAGAAUAUCUAAGUAUCAAGGUUAUCAAUUGUUUUUGAAAAUAAACACGUAAUCUGAUUUAAGAUGAUUAUAUUUCAAAAAAUUAUAUUAAUUUUGCAUAAAAAGAUUAAAUUCUAGUCUCAACAUCAACUAUAGAUACAACUCUUUUUGAACCAUUUAGCAUAUAGUAGAUCUAAACUUUGACAAUAUUAUUAAGUUCAAUUUAGCUCUCUUAUGUAUUUGAUUAUUUAAACAAGACCAAAUUUUAUAGAUUUAUAUACAUAAUUAGAACAAUUUGCUCAUGAUCCAUGUAAAUGUCAUAAUAUCAACAUAAAAUAAGUCUUUUUUAGUUUAUAAUCUAUUAUGAGUCUUGGCAUAUAAUAUAUACAAAUUGGCCUCUCAUCAUUGGACAUUAAAACAUUCAUCUUAGUUCUAUUGGAUUUAUUGAUGUUUUAUACUCUAAUGAUGUUAUUAAUUAAAAAUUGACUAGUAUGUAUCUAUUCAAGUUUGAGGGUGGAUCAGUUAUUUUAAAAUCUUAAAAAUAGAUAGUAAUGUCACAUGUAAAAGCUAAAUAUAUUAGAUAUUCAAUUGCCACCAAAGAUGUUGACUUCAACUCCUCUUUCAAGGAUUGAAUUACACAAGAACAAACAUCCAAAGGAUUACUUUAUAUGGUAAAAAUUAACUUGCAAUUCUCUUUAUCAUCAAUCUAAAGCAUCAUUUUUAAACAAAAUAUAUAGUUAUUUUCUUACAAUAUAUCUAUAAAUAGGUUAAAUUUGCCAUAUUCAAUUUAAGUAUGUUUCAACCAACAACAUACCUACAAAUAGAUUCACCAAGCUAUUCAUUGGGAUCAAAUUCUAAUAAUUUGUAAAAAUAUUGGACCUAGUCUUCCAUAAUAGUUUUUAAUUAUAAAUUAUCACAAUAUGGAAGACUAAAAGGCAUAUACACACUAUAAACUAGGUACUUAUGUCUUAGAGGCACUUUGCAAACAAUGUGAUAAAUAAUAAUUAUGAAUAUUAGUAUAACUUGAGAGAUCUAUUGAGAAUAUAGAAGUCUUCUUGUAUUAUAGUAGUAAUAUCUAAAAGACAAUAAUAAAUUAGAAUAGCUUGCCAUACUCUCUUUUGAUUGGAGAUUUGUCUUCACAAUGACAAAAAAAACAAUACUUCAAAGUUUAACUAGAUAAAAGUAAUCUCAUAAUCUUUCUAUGAACAUGUACAUCUUCUUUUAUGUCUAAUUAGAGUGAAAAAAAUAUCUAUUCAUGCUAUCCUUCUAUUUUCAAAUGCAUGUAUACAUGAAUAAGUGUAGAGUUUUCUUUUUGUGUGGAUGUUUUGAUGUUUAUAAAACUACUCUGCUUUAGAUAAUCAUUAUGUUUUCAUGGUAACUUUCAAAUUAAAUGACCAGAAGUAAUGUCCAUAGUUGAAGAAUAUAAAUUUUUUCUUACUAUUUAAUUCAUUCAUUUUACAUCUAGUAAAAUUUAUUGAAAUCACAGUAUGAAUUCUUUUACAAAAUUAGCAAAGAAAUAGGCGACAAGAUAUGAUUUUCAAAUUCCAUCUCCCCAAAAACUUUAACAACAUUCCACAAAGUAUAUACAAAGACAGUUUCGUCGCAUUGACAUCAUCAAGGCAGACAACCACGAAUUCUGUGAAGAUCUCCGUGAGUAUCACAAAGCUCACCACAACCCCGUUUAUGUUUUCACUUCCCUGUGGCACCUCUAAGGUUCCGAACCCUCGUCGAUGCUGCGCCAACACACAAAGUCUUCGUAGCAAAGUAAAUACCGGCAACUCAAAUUCCUUUUUAAUUUUGGAUGAGGUAUCACGGAAACCCGACAAUUCCUUCCUUGAUCAGCCCAUCCGGUGAGUACCAUCUCAUGACCGACUGCAAUUUCCCUGCAUACAAGUACACAAUUCCCUCUCUUAGGUUCGGAGAUGACCAUGGAUUCCGAAGCCGAACUCGCGGUCCAGAUGGGUGGGUUGAUCUCUGACUUCGGCACUGCAAUACCACUGGAUGAUGCUGCUCGUGAGAGUUGUUGCAGUGAGAGGAGAGGAGAUCCUGAGAGUUUAUUCUUGAGGGUGCGCUGGCAAGUUGGUUGGAGGAGGUUGGUUAUGCAAGAGAGUCCGUUGGCAAGUGAUCUCUCCGUUCCUCAUCCUGCAACUCAUCAUCUUGCGCUGGACCCACUUCCCCAGCCUUGCAAAAAUGAUGUUUUUAUUUUUCUCCGGGCUGCUUGUGUGGCUCUGGAUCGGCGUUGCUUCUCAAACCCAAUUUCCACGUCGUGUCUGAAAAGAAUACUCCUGGGUGCGAUGCGCUUUUGCGACUAGCCAUUCGGAGCCAAUCGGGAAGUAGUAAAAUAAUAAUGAGAGAGGAUGGGUCUGACGACAAACCCGAAUGGAAGAGUUGGACGACAGUCGUGGGACUAGCUACGGCGAUGCUGAAACAAGAGCUUUUGGCUCUGCCUGGCCGUGAAGGAUUCUGGCUUGGCUUGCUCGUGUGACACGCGGCCAUCGCGACAACUCCCCUGUAGAUCCUCAUCCAACGCCUCCAUAAUUAUUCGGUCGUUUUUUUUUCCAUUCCAUGCUAGGCAGAUAUACAUAGCUUCGGGAAACAUGCAGAAGAGGCGUUGUGAUUGUUCUCGAGAUAUUUUUAGGAGAGUCCUCUGAAGUGGUCUUCCUCGCGAUUAUCUGGAGACUGUUGCACGGUUUGGAACAGAGUAGUUGUGUAGGGGAGGUGGUGCGAGCAUCGCCAUUGCCAGCUGCAGCUUCAAGCGUGGGUAUGUUGUAUGACCGCAUCGCGAAGUGGGUUUUGUAGCUGAUACGGAUGAACCGAAUUGGAGGCAAGAGUGAGAGUGUGUUCAGGAUUUAGGGGGUUGCCGAGUGAAGAAAUCGUCCUCCUAGAACUCCACCAUCAUGCUCACCGUUCCGGCUUGCCAUGGCCGCUCCACUUACCCUUCUCUGCAUCCUGCCAGUCAGGUGGGUUCUCCUUCUCUUGUCCCGCAUUCGUCCCAUUGUUCUAGAAUCGCUGUGCAUCGGGAUCUCUUUUUGUGCGUAUAGGAUUUUGCGGCUUGUGUUGGUGUCGUUGCAAUGCUGGCGGGGUGGGGUGGAAUGUGACGAUGUGGCUGGUAUUGUGACAGGGGGGAGGGGGAGGGGUAUUGAUAGUUUAGGAGGUUUCUAUUUGAGUUUUCGAUGCUUCUGGAUGCGUGGGUUUUUGAAGGAUGAGUAUGCGAGGCGAUUGUGGUUCAAUUUAGAGCAGAAUUACAAUCGAGGGUGAUUGAAUGACUGUGUAGGUUCUUUCUUCUCGCCCUUUUGUUUGUCCAAGCAAAGGUUGGUGACGUUAGCAUCGUAGCUACCGUGUCCGAAUGCUAUGCGUUUUUGCAUCGGAGCUUGCGAGGACGUGCUUUGUGCAUCAGAAUGGAGGGUUGACAGAAUCUGUGUCUGUAUGGCUGAACAUCAUCAAGAAGGGAACGCGGGUUUCCAGUGGUCAUUGUCUGCUUCUUUUACGACUUCGUUUGAGUCGUUUGGGUAAGUUCGCAGAUAAGAUUGCGUUUUUGACAGUAAUUUUAGGUGCUCGGUGUUUCCAUGCAAUGCAGAUUGAAGGCGGGAGCUUGGCGUCCUUGGAUGUUUUAGGGUUGCAGCGAUUCCCUUUGAAAAGGUCCAUGUCGGGAAUCGGAGUAAGUUUCUACCGUGAUCGAUGCAUUGGAUCGCGAGUCUGCCUUUUGAAUUAGUCAUUUUUUGCCGUUUUGUGAAUUCGGAAUAAUAUCCACAGAUAGCAUUACCAUUAUAAAUAAUAGAUUGACAUUGCAAUUGUGGAGGAUGGUUAGUGAAACGGAUGAUCUUGUUGACGUAGUAUCCUGGCUGAAACUUUGGCUUGUUCUCAUAUCAUGCGCAAACGACUGUUGCUCGGAUGAAGAGCCUUAGCUUGUAAUUAGCUUGAAUGUUAUGCUCUGCCUGGAAGGCUUCAUGUUCCGGUCAGAUGAUUCCCCUUUCUUUUUUGUACGCCUUUUUCUUCUCAUGCUUUUUUAUUUCAUGACGUGCAGCUCACGCGAAGCUUAGACUUCAAGGCUGGCUCACCUCUUGUAGUGAAGGCAACAGGUAUAAAGACACAGAAGACAGACAGGGCAGAUAACCCAGCUGGAUGGGAGGACAUGAGUGGAAUGAAAAAGUUAGGAGUGAUGGAGGUGGAUCCCAUGCUCACCGCCCAUCAGGACCAUUUGCAAUAUCGUUUUCGCGAGUAUAUGAAACGAAAGACGGAAAUUGAGAAGGUAGAGGGAAGUUUGGAGAAUUUCGCUAAGGGUGAGCAUUUCUCUUCGUCGCAGGUUUAUCAGGUUGUGAGGUUUAGUCACGAUGAAGUUACUUGCUAAGAUUCAUGGCGCUCAGCAUCAUGUGUAUGCUAGCACUUAAUGAGUGUCGAUUUAAAAUUCUCCAAAGCUACAGCAGAAUGAAUAGAAGGCGCUGCACAAUGGAAUCGAACAAAUCUCGGAUUGGGUGUUUAGAGGAUGUUGUGUUGUAUGUAGGUUUCGAGAAUUUUGGGUUUACCCGUGACGGAAGCUGCACUGUGUAUCGAGAAUGGGCUCCUGCAGCAGCGUGAGUUUUUCUUUCGUCACAAUUCAUCUUAUCUGUAGAAAAUUAGGUCACUACAAUUAGAUAGUCUAAACCACCUCACAACUACUACAGACGAUAACUCAGAGUGCUUUUUCUUUACUUUCCUCGGUAAUACUCUUCCUGUGGACGUCAAUAACCAAGUAAUUGGCUGGACCAGAUCGCCGUCAUUUUCAUAUCAAAUGACAGUUUUAUGGAUAUCGCAUUGUUAUCAAUGGUCAGAGGAAGACUUCUGUAUUGUUGUAUAUAGAGUAAUUAAAGCCUCAUCUAGUCUUGUCUGAAGCGCUUUCCAGCCUUGAAUUCUGAAGAGAAUAUUGUUUUCGACAGGGCUGCUCAAUUGAUUGGUGACUUCAAUAACUGGGAUGGAAGUAAUCACAAUCUGCAAAGAGACGAGUUUGGUGUCUGGUCCAUUAGGCUACCUGACGAGGAUGGUGUUUCUGCUGUUCCUCAUGGUUCCAAAGUGAAGUUUAGGAUGCAGAAGGUUGAUGGUACCUGGGUAGAUCGUAUUCCAGCUUGGAUUAAGUAUGCUGUGGUUGACCCUAAUGUAUUUGCUGCGUAUUAUGAUGGUGUUCACUGGGACCCACCUGCGGCCGAAAAGUAAGUUUAUCCUCCGUGAAGCCUUCAUGCCUACUUUUUCGCUGAUGCACGCGGAGUGUAGAAUUCUUGCUGGGCUUUUGGCGGGCGUUUGCUGUAUGUGUUGUACAUGGGGGCAAAGUUUUUUAUCAUUUCUGCUUCAUGUAGGAUCUUUCACUGUUCAUGAAGUCUGUUGACCCAUUGAUCUUGUGCUGUGAUUCAGGUAUCAGUUCAAGCAUGCGCGCCCAGAAAAACCAGUAGCUCCAAUUAUCUACGAAGCUCAUGUGGGAAUGAGCUCGAAGGAACCAGUCGUGACGUCUUACAGGAAAUUUGCGGACGAGGUUCUUCCUAGAAUUAAGGCGAACAACUAUAAUACUAUACAGCUCAUGGCAAUCAUGGAGCAUGCGUACUAUGGCUGCUUUGGUUAUCAUGUCACAAAUUUCUUUGCUGCUAGUAGCCGCAGUGGUACUCCCGAGGAUCUAAAGUAUCUAAUAGAUAAGGCGCACUCCAUGGGACUUCGGGUUUUGAUGGAUGUGGUACACAGUCACGCUAGCACAAACGCCGUUGAUGGGUUGGCUGGGUAUAAUCUGGAUCAGACUUCUCAGGAUUCCUACUUCCACUCAGGUGCCCGAGGAUAUCAUAAACUUUGGGAUAGCCGCCUAUUCAACUACGGUUCUUGGGAAGUGCAGCGGUUUCUUCUUUCGAAUUUGAGGUGGUGGAUGGAGGAGUAUAUGUUCGAUGGCUUCCGUUUUGAUGGAGUCACUUCCAUGCUUUACCACCAUCACGGACUGAACAUGUGUUUCACUGGAAACUACCACGAAUAUUUCAGUGAAGCCACGGAUGUCGAUGCAGUGGUUUAUUUGAUGCUUGCAAAUGAGCUCGUUCACAAUUUAUUACGUGAUGCUACAGUGAUUGCGGAAGAUGUGUCUGGCAUGCCUACUCUCUGCCGGCCCGUGGAAGAGGGAGGCAUCGGGUUUGAUUAUCGUCUAGCCAUGGCUGUACCGGACAAAUGGAUCGAGUACCUGAAAGACAGGAAGGAUGAGAACUGGUCUAUGGGUGAUAUUGUUCACACUCUUACUAAUCGUAGAUAUACUGAGCCAUGUGUUGGUUAUGCUGAGAGCCAUGAUCAGGUAAUCAUCCUCAUUAUAUAUGUGUUCCAUUUGUCUAUUAGUGCUCGUAGCAUUCCUCUGAAUGGCUUAGAACUGUUUCAUGUGGUGCUGAAACUGUCAAAUAAUUUUAUGUCGAGUUCUUUUGUUUUAAUCAAGUGACAUGGAUGUUCUCCCACUUGAAAGAGACUUAUUAGCAUAAUCAAUGUUCACUAACGCUGUAAACUCACAUGAGUAGUUUCCUUUAUGGGAUUUUCUCAACCGCAAUCGGAGUCUGUUUCGGUAGACAGGCUUGAAAUUUUAAUACAUCUUUUAUGAGUAAAGGUUUCCUACAUUCUAAUGUGCUUUGUUUCCCUGCAGUCUAUGGUUGGAGAUAAGACGUUUUCAUUUUUAUUGAUGGACAAGGAAAUGUAUUUUAAUAUGUCAACUCAGCAACCUGCGAAUCUCAUUGUGGAUCGAGGAAUUGCACUACACAAGGUCGAACCAUCGUAUCUCAAGUUAUCUACCCGUGUUUCUUUACUGCGUGUUUGUUUAUUUUUGGGACAUUGAAUAUGGGUAUGACUUGCUAAAUUUAUCAAUGCAGAUGAUUCACUUUAUUACAAUGGCUCUCGGCGGGGAAGGUUACUUGAAUUUCAUGGGCAACGAGGUAAAUAUUUUGAUACGAAUUUCAGUACGAGGCACUCUAGUUGUCCUUUUUCCAGGGUCUAGGAUGUCACAUUUGAUAUACCUCCUUUCGUUUUAUAGGAAUGCUAUUGCAGCAGAUGACACAAUGCAGUUUAUUACUUUCUGUUCACCGCAGUCUCAAAGUGAAACGCACUUCAUGAUAUAAAUCUUCGCAUGGAUGAAAGAUAUAAAUGAGUGGGAUGUUUACGAGCUUUUCCACUACAUUAAGCCGCUGCAAGUAGAGAUACGCUGUUCCUUUUGAAGAUCAUGCACACGCUCUUUUUCCUGAAUGCCUCGUGUCACACAUUCCUUCGAGUUUAUUUUAAGGAUGGUUCACUUAAUGUAUACUCUUGUCCUUAAUAUGAACCUGUUGCGAACUGCAGUUUGGUCACCCAGAAUGGAUCGACUUUCCUAGAGAUGGUAACAAUUGGUCAUUUGACAAGUGCCGACGACGGUGGGACCUCUUGGACAAUGAGCAACUUCGCUACAAGGUUAAUCUUUUCACAUGAUCUCAUUGUGAGAGUUUGUUGCUGCCAUGGUGUGUGUCAGUGAUGUGUGCACAUGCUGUUGAUACACUAGUCCGUGAAGCGUGCGGAGUUCUUGAGUACCGACGGCGGUGUGACCUGUAACUCGCGAAAAACUUAUUCGUUUUACCUCGAUUUGGUCUUCCAUUACUUGCUGACGUUGCUUCUAUUUAGGAAAGGAGUAAUCUAGACAUGAACUUAAAUGACUGAAGAUAAGGAUGUAGGAUUUACUCGAAUUCAUCAGCUUUUACAUAUCCUCAGGCUUGUGGCAGAAAAUUUGGCACUGAGAUAUCAAGUUGAAAUUGAUCUUUGAUGACAGUUCAUGAAUAAUUUCAACCGAGCAAUGAUUGCGCUUGAAGAAGAGUUCCAAUUUGUGAGCUCCUCAAAGCAGUAUAUCUCCUGUGCAGAUGAAUCACAGAAGGUCCGUAAAAGCCUCUUUGCUCAUUUAGCACUUUUCAAGGGUGAUAUCAAGCUUUGCCAUCAGGCAUUUCCUCGUGAAUGUGGUUUAGCGACAUUGUUGCAUCGCAUCAUUGUUACCACGAUGUGUUCCUGAAAAUGCUUUAAUUGGUCUCUACUGCAAUUUAAUCUUUAUUUUAUACAUGAUGUGUGAUGGGUUUAUUCACAGCUUAUUGUGUUUGAAAAAGGAGACCUGGUCGUCGUCUUUAACUUCCAUCCAACAAACACGUAUUCGGGGUUAGUGUUCUUCUCGCUGAGCUUCUAAAAACAAUUUGAAUAUGUCCUGCAGUGUGAUAUCUGUACCUUGGUGCCAUCUCUUUUCUCCGUCGCUCGAUCUUGAUAUUUCGAAGACUAUUUCCUCUGAAAAUCUAAACUUAAUUAUGUUUAGUGUUUUGCGUAGUGAUCUGGUAAAGUUUAGAUAAGUGGUUGGUAUUGGUUUUUGUAUGCGAUGGAGGAACGAUUUUCAUUUGUAAUCAUGCAUGCAUAUUGGAGAUGUGUUGAAUGGCAGGUUGAAGGUGGGCUGUGAUGUUCCUGGGAAAUAUCGGAUCUGUCUAGACAGCGAUGCGGCGGAAUUCGGAGGCCAUUCUCGGGUAUGGGUUGGUUUCCUUCAAUUGUGUCGUAUUUAGAUUGGUCCUUUUUCUAUCUGUUGCUAUCAUGUGCGGAUUUGAUGUGGAAAAACUCAAGUUUCACGUAUACCAUGACAUUCGAUCAUUAUCAUUGGCUCAAACGCAGAUUUUCCCGCUGUCAGAUUGCGUAAUGAGUGGUUACUGAUAAUGUAUUUCGACGUACAACUUUGUGUUUACUCUUGAAAAUCCGACAGUUGACGUGUGUUCUUUAAAGGUUUACAAAACAACCAUCCAAGUGUUCUAGAGUUAACAUGUCUUCGCAUAUCUUUUAGCUGUGCAGAGCUCUCUUCUGCGUCUGUUUACCGAUUCGACGACACAUAUCAUAGUAUUGUUAAGCAAUUCCUGACGCCAAAUUUCUCUUUUUCCUUUCUCCCUUCUCUAGGUUGACCAUAAAGUUGAUCACUUCACCAGUCCCGAGGGAGAGCCAGGAAAGCCAGAGACUAACUACAACAACAGACCGCACUCCUUCAUGAUUAUGGCUCCUAGCCGCAGUUGCCAGGUGGGUAAUGUUCCCUUGAUCUGAUUUCUACUGUUUGUCCCCCAGAUUCUUGUAAAGCUUACAGUAUUUCAAUGUUCGGAAUGCAGGCGUACUGCAGGGUACCAGAGUAAAACGGAGAUUGUCAUUUGAUCAAUAAGGUAUAAUUUCUUGCUGUGCAACAAACUUUUCAUGUGUACUGAAAGAGUAUUGAGGAAGUGCGCAUGCUUUUUUAACUCAAUAGUUUCUAAUCUGCCGUUACCUUCUCUAAUUAGGGUUUAUUAGUUUAUUAAUCAGAGUUAGAAUUACGUUUGACCCGCUUCCAUCUCAAAGUGGAGAACCCUAGUCAUGGUAAACUUAAUAUUCCUACAUUUUAUUUCCCAGUUUUGAGUUGGGCCUGUUCUAAUUUUAUUAUGUUCAAGGUUUUGCAGCAAUGGAUCUGUAUACAAUUGAUCUGUGCCUAGGUUAGUAAACAAGAGUGUUAAUUCGGUAUAGCGUGCUAGUUCAGCCUGUAGGCACAAACUGUUUGCAUCUUACGUUUAGGCUUCGAGGUUCACUUAACUCUCCUUGGUAAGUGAAUCCAGCUUGUGCAGUCUCCAAUUACCAUGCUAAUCUAAGUUACUCUAUAGAUCCACAUUGGAGUUGCAAAUUUAGUGUAUUAUGGAGCAUACUAUAAUUUCCAGUAAGUUAUUUGAGCGUGUACUUGGUUUGACAACUCGCGGAUUUGUACAUAGAAUAAUCUUUUUUUAAUAUAAAAUGACGAUCUUGAUAUAGUGCCAUUUUUUGGCACAGUUCUGGUGCACAUCAUUGCAAUUUUAAUUGAUAAAACUAAUUAGUAAGUUGGUGUUUGGAAGGUGAAAAUAUGUUCCUGAAAACAAAUAUAUAUAUUUUUCUGUUACAGUAGACAUCAAAAGAACCAAAAUAACUAGACCAAGGAUGAACUGAAGAUAUACAUAAUAAGAAUCAUGAAACAAAAACUAAAAUUGAACGUGCAAUAUAUAUAUAUAUAUAUAUAUAUACAUAUACACUAGUGGAACUUAUACAGUUGACCAUAAAAAAGGUGUGCAUGUAUAAUUUGUGGUCAAAUUAUACAUUCACACCUUUUCCUUAAGAAAUGGUUGACCAAGAAAAUAUGUAUACAAAUAUAUAUAAAUAUAUAUAUAUAUGCUUAACAAUACAAUCCAAAGAUAGAAUCUUUCCUUUCAUUUAAUUUCAUUCACAUUUGCAUUCACAUUCAUAGUCUUUGCAUUCACAUUCAUAGUCUUUGGAUUCCAUUGCUUCAAUGUGGACCAUGUAGUUUUUAGUGCAUUUUUCUCCAUUAGCUUCUUUGUCUUUACAGCUUCUCUAUCAAAAAUCAUGAUUGUCACAUCCAUUAUGCAUGUAAGUAUUUAUAGGUGCCCUAGACUUGAUCAAGUCGUUACAUAAAAUGACAUAAGUUCAUCAUAAAAAGUACAUAGGUUUUUAUAAGCACCAUGUUAAAAAGUAUAAGAUGUGCAUUCAAAAAAGCAUGGAACUCCUUGCUAUGGUAGAUCUUUAUUUGCCUUGAACUUGCUCCUUACAUACAAUAGUCCAACCAUCUCUCAAACAUCCCUCUUCCUUGUUGAAGUUCACUCAAAUUACAUGUUAUUUUCAAAAAUGACCUAGUCAACUUUGCCUUCAUAUAACUCUCAGCUCUUUCAUGUUCUUCUUAUAAGAAUUACAAGGUAGUUGCAUACCUCAUCAAUCACUUAUCAAAUCUCAUGACUAGGUAAGUAAUAUUCAAACUGUAGUGCAAUUUUUACUCAAACUAACAUUCUAUCCUUAGACUCUUUCUCAUAGACCUUGUUGCAUCAAAGCACAUAUCUCUCAAUUUAAAAGACCUAUAUAUCUGAGAUUUCAUCACAAUUUAGAUAAGGCAUUUCAAAAGCUAUUCUCUAAAAUUCAUCUCAAUAGCUGUAAUACUUGCCAAGAACUAAGCUUACAAAUUCGGAUCACUUAGCUACCUUAGUUUCUAGACCCCCUUUACUUCAAUGCUCCAUCACUUCUUUUUUAGCACAAAUGAGAUCCUUAAAUUUUGUAUACUAGUGAUAUGCCUCACCUAAAACACCUCAAUAAAAUAUGGUACUAAGAUAUUAUUCCAAUCAUGCAUAAUAGACCAAAACCAAGAUCCAAAUUCUCUCCCUUUAUUAACCAAAACAAAAGAUAUUUCAAUAAUCACAACCAUCACUUUGUAUCUCUCUUCACUUCCUUAAAUCACCUUGAUACCUCUAAAAUAUCACCAAGAAGACUUCAAGAUGAAAAUCCACCAUAUGUAGUCUAUCUUAUCUUUAUCUUAAUUCUAAAAAUUAUCACGAAGAGGACUCCAACAUAAGAAUCUAUAAUAUGUGGUUUACCUUAUCUUUAUCAUAAUCCUCAAAAAUAUCACCAAGAUCUCUCUAAGAUGAAAAUCCACCACAUGUGGUCUAUCCUAUCAUUAUUCUUAUCUUCUAAUCUUCUUAGUUAUUAAUCUAAUUGCUAGUUCUUUACUAACAAUUAAGUACAUGAAUUAAAACAACAUCCUACUAAGAAUAAUCUAAUUGUAUACUUAAAAUAGGCAGAAAAUACACAUGAAUGCCUAUCAGUUAAUUAUUAAACAGCCCACAUUACGACAAUGGGUUCAUCAAUUUGUUAUUUGUCAUGGAUCAAAAAAUCACUUCAAGUUAUAUCCAUAUAACUUUCAAAAAUCAGAAAUAAAAAAUUACUCCAAAUUAUCUAUUUGUAACUCUCAAAAAUCAAAAAUCACUCUCAAAAAUCACUUUUAGUUAUUUCUAUAUAAAUCUUAAAAAUAACUCAAUGUUCCAAAUGGUCUCGGAGUUGCAACUUUCACUUGUCAAAAAAUCUCUCCAAAUUUACUUCAAUGCUCUAAAUGUUCUUAAAAUUGAGCCAAUCAAAGAUGGUUUUUGUCUUCUCUUGUUUGUCCUUUGGAUCUAUUUUAUAUGAUAAAUAUUAAGAUGAUUGUGUUCUUUGCUUUGUAAAUUGGAAUAUUCUAAUGCUUAUUUUUACACUUUUGAUUAAUUUUUUUUAAAGUUUAAGAUUAAAAAAAUUAUUCAAAAAUAUCAAGAUAUUUUAAUUGGCUCAAAAGAUAUUUUAAAAUUCCAACUAUUAUAACAUAAGAGUUUGAAAAAAAUUAUAAAAUUAUAAAUAUAUAUAUAUAUAUAUAUUAUUGAUUUAUAUUAUUGAUUUAUAAAAAUCAAAAGUUAAAAAAAUACAAAAAAAUACUAGUUUGAGAAACAAAACUUAAAAUAUAAAAAUAUAAGAAUAAAAGGCCAAUUAGUUUUUUCAAUAAUAUUCUUACAUUAUAUUUAAAAAUAGCUUUUGGUUAUAUAAUAAUCUAAAAUUGUAUCUAAAUCAAUCUACAUUAUAUUUUUCAUAUCUUUUUUAAUCAAUUAAAAUUACUCAUCAAUUAAAAAUACUCAAUAGAUAUUUUGAUUCUAUGUAGGUACUUUAUUAUGAUUUAAAACUCAAUACAAACUAAAAUAUAUAAAUUCAUAAAAAUUAUUUUUAGGUAUUUAUUCUUAAUCUCCUAAUUUUUAUAUUCUAAAAAUAAUUUUAAAUUUUAACUUUAUCAUAGUGCUUUUACAAACCAAUUUAUUAAAAAUAAAUUUCUAGAGUAUUAAACAAUUUCUGUUAUAUUAACAUACAAGUUUUGUGAUUAUUAUUUAUAAAUAUCUUUGGUCGUAUUAGAAAUAAUUUAAAAUAUUUUGUAGAUAAGAUUAUUACAACUAUCAUGUAUCAUUAAAUAUUUAAAACAUCCUUUCAUACUAUAAAAUUUAAUUAUAUAAUAGCAUUUUAUUAACAAUGAUGUUUGUUAAUUACAUUCGAAGUACUCCUAUGUACAUUGUUAUGGCUUUAAAUCAUGUUUUUAUUGCAUAAUUUAUCAUUUUUUUAUAAAUCAAUAAUUAAUAUUAAUUUAUUAUUAAUUUAUUAUUAAUAAUAAAAAAACCUCAAUUAUAUAGAUAUUUUAUAAAUUAUUAUAUAUAUAUAUAGAUUUUUUUAUACAUCAAAUAAUAAAUCAAAGAUAACUUUUUGUUAUUUAGUUUAAUUUCUUUUUUCUCUUUAAAAAUGUAGAUUCAUGACUUUGAUAUUUUUAUAAGUUGAAACUUUAUAUAUUAUUCUUAUAAUAUACCAAUUAAUAUAAGUAAAUUAAAUAAUAUAUUACUAAUUUUAAUAGCUGAUAAUUUAUAUGUCAAAUUAUAUUACAAAAAUAUAAUCUAUAAUAAUUUAUAUCUUCUUAGAAUCUAUUUGCAAAUCAUUAUUUGAAAUAAUAUAUUUAAAAAAAUACUUGACUUGUUAAAAAUAUAUAUUUUUUCAUCUUGAUAUAUAAUCCUAUAUAUCUAAAUUUUUGUAGUACAAGGCAAAGAUAUUAUUUAUGCAUUUCUAUACUCUUACAAUAGAUAAUAAUAUAGUUUAAAUAAUACAUGAAUAAACAUCUAAAAAUACACAAAAUAUGUUAUUUAUUCAAAUGUAGAAAGAUUGUUAAAGCAUUUGAAAGUCUAAAAGGCAUAACAUUGUAUUAAAAAUGAUUAUAUAUAGUUUAAAUUUUAGUCAUCUAUUCUUUUUCUUUUUAAUAUGUAAAAAAUUAUAAGUUCUUUAUAGAUCUUAACUUCAAUUCAUUAAUCAAAGAAACAUGUUAUUGAAAAGAAAUUUAUUUGAAAGGUCAAUAGAUUUAUUUUUGAAGAUUAACUACACAAUUAUUAAAUUAGUAUUUGAAAAUAUUUUAGUAUUUUUUAAAAAAAUAUAUCUUAAUUUUUGAAUAUGUUGAAGAAUUCUAUAAUAACUUUUACUUAGUAAAGAUUUGGUAUUGCAUAAAUGAUAAAUGGAUUUUUUUUUUUUAAAGCUUGUAUAAAUAUUGUCAUAGAUAUACUAUACAAGAGAUCAAAGAAGAAGUUGAUCAAAAGAGUUUCAAUAAGAGAGCGACUAAAAACUUGAUUAAAUUCGAUGAGUACAAGAUCAACACCAAGAAAAGUAAGCUAGAGCUUCAAAAGAUGUGUUUUCAAGACUAAGGAUCUUUUUAGCCUUGACUCCAAUAAUUACUAGGUAUUAAGAAGCUUCUUAAGAAGUUCUCAUGUUGCUUCAAGACGAAGUAACCUUAAGAAGCUUCUUGAGAAGUUUUCAUGUUGCUUGAAAAUGAAGCAACUUCAAAAAGCUUCUUCAAAAGUUUUUAUAUUGCUUGAAGAUAAAAAAAAAUCUUAAGAAGCUUCUCGAGAAGUUUUCAUAUUACUUAAAGAAGAAGCAACUUUAGAAAGCUUCUUGAGAAGUUCUCAUAUAGCUUGAAGAAAAAACAACCUUAGGAAGCUUCAUGAAAAGUUCUAAUAUUGCUUGAAGAUGAAGCAACUUUAAAAAACUUCUUGGAUAACUUUGUUAAUCUUCCUAGAAUUUUCUAAAAUCUGCCUAAAAUAUUUUGAAAAUAUUCUAGAACCUUUUAAAAUAUUUUAAAAAUCUUUUAGAAUCUCUUAUUUGAAUAUUUUUAAAAUCUUCUAAAACUUCAUAUUAAAAUAUGAUAAGAAUCUUCUAAAAUCAUAUAGAAUAUUUUAAAAAUAUUUCCAAAAACUUCUUAUUUGAUGUCCAUAAUAAAUAUCUUGGAUUUUAUUAUUAAAAAAAAUUUCUUUUUAAAUAUAAGAUAUAUAUUUUUUAUUUGUUUUUUUUUUUUUUUGAUAGAAUAGAUAAGUAGAAAUUCAAGACUAUAAGAUAUCUACUUCAUCUAUCAAUUAUAUUUAUUAUCCAUAAUAGUCUUAAAAUAAUAAGAUUGAUUGAAAAUUAGUAAUAUUAAAUACUAUUAGGUAUUUAUGACAUUUUAUCACUACUUUUAUUAGUAUAGAUUUGUAGAUAAAAAUAUCUAAAGAUAAUGGUUGUUUAUCUAUGACUUUUAUAUAUACAAGUUUGGCUCUUGUACCAACAAUAUCUUAUAUUUCUUAGAAAAAUCUUUAUUAGAAAAAUAAGUAAAAGAAUAAGAGUCUAACAAAGCAAAUGUUGUCAUAAUAAGAUUAUUAGAUUCUAAAAAAAAAUUAAUCAAAAAUAAAGAAAGUUAUAUAAAAUAUAAUAUAGGAACUUAUAAGAAGAUGUAAUAUAAGAAUCUAAACAUAUGUUUUUUAAUAUUAUUUUGAUUUUUUGACAUAUUAUAUAUUUUUAAAAUUUUAACAUUAGUCUUGUGAUUUUGUUGCUUUUAGGGAUAAUAUUAGAAGUAAGUUUUGAUUUUCUACAAUAUAGGCAUAAUUAUUUUUUAGUAUUAAGUUUGUUCUUAUACUCUAAGAGUGAAAUAAGAUCAAUCUAUCUUGAGAGUCUAAGACUCUUCUAAUCCACAGCCACUUAAAACCUCAUCACAAAGUAGGACAAAAUGGACCAAAAUAAACCUGAACAAAAUUAAACAAAAUAAGACACAAAAGACAAAGUUGUGCAAACAAAAAUAGAACAAAACAGAACUGAAUAAGAAGAUGCAAAACCAAACUUCACUAAGAAAGAAGGUCCAAAGCCAUACUUGACCAAAUGCCUAGAAGGCCUUGGUUAGUCCUAUUUAUACUUUGUUCUACCACCCUAGACUUUCUAGAAUGUUCUUAGAUGAUGGAUCCCACUUAGAUUACCGCCUUAAACUCCAUUUAGAAGGUUCUAUGGUAGAUCCUAUCUAGAUAACCAACCUAAGUCUUUUUCAAAAGGUUCCAUGGUGGAUCCCACCUAGAUAAUCAUCUUAAGCUCUUUCUAAAAUGUUCCACAGUAGAUCUUACAUGGUCCACUAACUUAGCCCUAAUUCUAGAAACUUCCAUAAUUUCUCAAGCAUGGUUCCAAUUAUCUAUCCUUAUAUAUUAACAAUACAAAUAUCUUAUCUAUACUUUGUUACAAAGAAAUUUGAAAUAUACAAUAUUAUUUUAUAUUUUUUUAUAUUUGAUAAUAUAUCAAGAAAUAUUUGCAAUCAUAGUAUACAAGCUUUAAUGUACUAAUGUCAAACUUUGUGUUUAAAAUUCAAAAAUUUGUUUAUCAUAUUUGACAAAAUAUUCAAUAGUUUGAUUCAAAAUUUGAGAAUUAGACAAGUUGGACAAUAUUUUUUUUGCAUAAUGUUGUAAUUUAUAUAAAAAUUGAUUAAUGAAUAUUGUAUUAUCCCACUUUACAUGAAUUAUUAAUUGUCAAAAUUGUGAUGCAUAUAUUGAUACUUAUUAACUUUUUUAUUGUAAAAAUUGAAUUUAUUUGGUUGUUAUAUAGUUUGCAUCAUGUUGUCCUUACAAAAAUUAAAAUUUUGCCUAAAAGAUAUUUAAAAUAUUAAACAUAAAAUCUUGUCUUUUUAAAAAUAAUAAGAACUAAAAAAUUAGAAAUAUAUUAAAUAAAAUUUAAACAAAAAUAAUAUAGGAUGCUUGAGUUGGAUAACUAAGAGAUUAGGGUUAAAUAAAAAGUUAUAUUUGGUUGAUGAAUCUUUAAAAUUUAGAUUAAAUAUUGUCAAAUUUCUUUAAAAAAAUAACUUUUGAUUCUUUAUCUAAUACAUUUGUAUAAGUUAUUUAAAAUAAUGAAAUUAUUAAAAUAAUUCAUUUUAUUUCAAUGUCUACAUGAUUAAUCUUUUUUUAAUAUUGAAAAAGAUGGUAGACAAAGUUGAUGCAUAGCAAGCAUCAAAUUUCUCAUUUGUUAUUCUAUUUAUACUAUAACAGUCUAUAUCUUUCAUAUAUCUUUUGUAUAUAUUAAGUCUUAUAAUUUUCUAUAGAAAAAAAAAGAAAAAAAUGGCACUAAAAAAUAUUUUAAAUUUAAAAAAGAAUAAUCUAAAAACUUUAAGAUACUUUGAUUUUUAAAAGAAAAAGAAAUAAUUUAUUAUUUAUUAAAAAAUAUUAAGCUUUAGUAUUAUAAAUAUGGUUCUAUUUAAAUUAUCAAAGACAUUAAUCUAAUAAAACUUAAAAGUCAAUACAUUUAUGUAUCAUUGAAGAAAAAAUAGAGAAUAAUGAAAAAAAUAUAGAUAUAAGAUAGCAAAAGAACAAAAAUAGCUAUUUCCAAAUGCAAAUAAAUUAGACAAUUUUGAAUUAGGAUUUUAAUAAAAGAGAUGUAUUAAUAAGAUAUAAGAUGAUCUUGCUUUUAUCUCCAUAUAUACUACUAAAAAGGCAAUAUAGUGGCUUUCUAAAGAUCAUGUGAUUAAUGAAACAAGUGGUUAAUAUGUAAGACAAGUGGCUAAUAUGUGCAAGAUAUAGCCAACUUGCAAAAACAUAUGUCCAAUAUGAUUUGAUUGUUGGAUGCUUUGGCUUGAGUAAUAAAUUAUUUUAAUGAAUUUACUUUUGACUUUGUUAAUAAUAAAACUUUGACAUUAUCUUUUAAUCCAAGUAGUCAAUAUGUGUGACAUUUGGUCAAUUUAUUGGCUAAGUUUUCAACUUGUCAAUCACCUACCAACUACCUACCAACACAUACAAAUCCAAAUCUAUGUCUAUGAAGCUUCUAAAAAGCUAUUCCACAAGAUAUUAUCAGAUUUACUUACUUAUUUUUACUUCUACCUAAGUAUUCUAAUCUAAAUAAUUACUAGUAUAAAUAUUUAUAUUUAUGACACCUCUAUAUAUACUAUCAAAUUAAUGAACUAUGUAGUGACAUUCUAUAGAUUACUUAACAUGUGUCUUACUUGUAAGAUAAGUCUUUUUUAUGUGCACCACAUGACAAAUUUGUACCACAAGUCGCCAAUAUGUGCAACAUAUAGUCAAGUUGUAAAGUAAGUGGUCAAUAUGUGGAACAUGUGGUCAACUUGUUGGUGAAGUUUUCAACUUAUCGAUUACCUACAAAUACUUAAAAAGUCAAAUCCGUAUCUAUAAAGCUUCUAAGAAGCAUUGCUAGAAGUUAUUAUCAAAAUUACUUAUUUCUAUUUGCUUUUGCUUAACUAUUCUUAUCUUUAUUAGUGUCAAUGUUUUCGUGAUACUAUAUCUAAGAAACAUCUAGGAUGCUAUUUGGAUAAGAUGUUAUUAAAUUAAUAUACUUCUAUUUAUUUCUAUCUACUUUGGUUUAUUUAAUUAAUAUAUGAUCAUAUUAUAAGUGUUGUCAAAUUGUCAAAGAUAUAAAUUUGAAAAGACUUCUAAAAAUAUAAUAUAUUCUAUAAAAGAAAUGAAGUUUUUUUUCUUUUUUUUUAAAAAAACUAAACUAAAUUAAAGAAAUUAUAUUUUUAUAAAAUAUAAAUAUUCUAAAAUAUUUAUUAUUAAAUUUAAAAAAUUUAAAAAAUUAAUUAAAAUUAGUAAAAUAUUGAUAAAAGUAAGAAUGGCCUUAGUCUUCUCUCUAAAGAUAUUAACUAAUAGAAAGACCAUAAAAAAACUUUCUAUCAACCACAUGACUUGUAGUUAAGCGUCCAAGUUUUAAAACACUUCUAUAGAAGUUUCUUAAAGAUAAAAGAAACUUUUGCAGUCACUUGACAUAUCUAAAAGAUUUUGUGGAUAUAAUCAUAGUCUAAAAUACUUCUUUAAUGUUUCUUAAGGAAUAUAUUUUUACCUAAUAUGUUUUUAUAAAUAUAUUUCUAAAAACUUAUAUCAUUGAUAUACAAUUCUAGAAGUAAUAAUAAAAUUUAUUAUAAAAACUAAUGAACACAUAUGUAAUUUUUACUAAACCAGUAUCAGAGAAAAUGAAAAACAUAAUUUUAGAAUUUGUACUAAACCAUAUACAAGAACCAUAUAAAUCCUUUUUUUUUGUACACACUUGCAUAUCUUUGGAAGCUACUAGAAGACUAACUUUCCCAUUAACAAAAUUCCAAGGAUAACUUGCUACCAAAGGGAACCCAAUCGCUAUGGUCCAAAAAUAGCGUGAUGAAGGCUCCAAGGAACGAGCAACGACGGUGACGCCCAUUCAUCCACCACCAUUCAUCAAAAUUGAGGAUGGAAGCUGAAAAAGGAAGCCUUCCAUCGGGGAUCUGGAGGCUUUUUCAAGGUUUGAAUUCCCCUCCAUUGGGCCAUAUUCUAGUUUCCGGUGAAGCUGUAGGGUUUUUCCUCCACGCAUAGAUUGCGUCGAAUUGCCUCACAACAUCACUGAUCUUGUCGCUUAACAAGCUUAUAACGAUCUGGUGCACAGCUGUUGGAACCAGGGGUGUGAGAACUGUAGCAAGCGAGCGAGCAGGGGAUAGGAAAGAGCUGUAGAGAAGUUUGGAUGUGAGUACGCACAGCGAGGAAGAGGUUUGCAGGGGAAGAGAUGACACGGUGAUUGUAGAGGACUCACGGAAGGAGUUUGAAGUGGCCGAGAGUGUAGUGGAUCCUAUGUGUUGCCCUAGAGAGGUGCGUACUCAAGCUGGCGGAUGUCUCUAGCUUGGUCGAAUUUUCCUUGGUUACUUACUCAGUAGCUGGGCUGAGUUCUGCGAGUGAUGAGGAUUGGAAUGAUUGCGUAGGGAGAGAAAGAUGUGAAGCUGCUGCACUCCAGUCUGUGCACUGUCAUUAUUGUUUGUAUCAGUCAUCGGGUUGGAGCCGCGAAUUUCUCCAGGUGGGAAUUUCGUAUUUUGUUUUUUUAUUUUAUUUUCUUUUCCCCUUGUUUUUAAUUUCUUUUUGGAUGUUUUAAUUUCUGUUUCCGUGUGUCGCCUUUCGUUACACUCUUUCUUUCGCUAAAGAGUGUUAUAAGUUCGAUACGCUCUUUCUUAUUGUUGCGCAUUCAGAGAUUGAUCGUUAGAACCUUUUCCUUUUUGAAUGAUCCAGCGGCAGAUAUGGCGUCCGUGAUUUAUCUCGACAGCAGUGACGAUGAGCAUGAGCCAGUACCAAAACGAGUUGAGCAGCAGAUUCCUUCCCACGUAAAGCAAUUGGACAGCGUGAAACCUAGCGCUGCUCAAGGCAAGGUUGAAAGGAUUCAUGGAGAUCCUAGUGCUCAGCGAAAAUCCGUUGAACAUUUGAGUGUACCGAGUGCACGAAGUAAUGCAACAGUCUCUAAUGACCAAGCACGAGAGCCUACAGGUACUCAGCCUGAGAGUAGAGAAAAAUGGACGCCUGUACCAAAGCGUACGAGCGCUGCGGAUGUGGUAGGUCCCUCUAGUGCAGAAGAAAAUUCUCUUUCUCGUCAUUUCUGGCAGGCAGGAGAUUACGAGAGUCAGGUUGUAAUGAAGAAGAGGCCUCUUGCAGGUAUUUUUGUGUUCCACUCCCUCUUUCUUUCAGCCUUCGUCUGCUUUAACUCGAGUUGCCUAGCUGUCAUUUGCAAAUUAAUUCAGAAACAAGCCACGAUUAUUUUACUUUGUCAGAGGUUUUGUGAGUAUAAUCUACUGGUUCAACGAUUUAUGAUGUAUUCAAUCUGAGAGCGCUGGGCAAUACUUUUGUGGCAGUUGCACGACAAAAGUAAAAUCAUCACUGUGUGUGUGAAAUGGCAGGGGCUCUGGAUCAUGUAAGAGUGCAUCCCAAAUUCUUACAUUCAAAUGCCACGUCUCACAAGUGGGCUCUUGGAGGUGUGUUUUCUAUUUUAUUUGAAAAUGACCGGAAAGUUCUGCGGAAACUCCCUUUGACACCAUAUGAUAUCUACUGUGCUGUAAAAUGUGCUAGUUGGUAAUGUUAAGCAAGUGAUUGUUUCGAUUGUUGGUCUCUCUCGUGUUAUACCUUAGUGAUUCCAAUGUUAGUAAACUUUCGGAAGUCUCGCUAACUUUGAUGGAUGAGCCAAAUCCUUCUUAUCAGCAGAAAACAGGAGGUUCCACCACAAUAGACAAGUCUGUCGUAGUUGCUGCUACACAUAAAUUUAUUCUAUACACUUCGAGAGUUUUUGUAGUCUUGAUCUGAUGUGCUGUGAAGUAACACAACAUCGAGAGUGUACAGAAUUAUUCUCAUGUGUGCCAAGGUGCAUCAGAUAUGUUUGUUGUAGUGAACGUCACAUUAUAUACUGUUUAAUUCAUGUGGCUUUUGUCAGAUGUUGCUUGUUCUCUUCUUUCUUAGUUAAUAGGAACUUAUAUGUCCUUGGCAGCCAUUGCGGAGCUCUUGGACAACGCUAUCGAUGAGGUGAGUCGUGCUUUAAUGGUUCUGUAAAGUUCACUCUCAUUUCUGCGUGCAUCUUUGGAACUGAUAAUAACAAUACAUACGUAGUCUAGAAUGGUGGUUACUGAAAUUGCACGUGGGCGUGUGCACAGGUUUCGAAUGGAGCUACCUAUGUGCGGUUAGAUAAAAUAAAAAAUGCACGAGAAGGCAGUCCUGCUCUUCUUGUUCAAGGUUCUCCCCUAUCACUCGCUGUACGUAUUUUCCUGCUUUGGGUAAAUUAAUAAGAUGUUUGAAUUACCUUGGUUGACGGUUAAACAUGAAAAAUUGGUUGUUGCAGAUAAUGGAGGGGGUAUGAGCCCAGACAAUAUUCGGCAAUGCAUGAGCUUGGGGUAUUCCCUCAAAAACCAGAAGACCACCAUUGGGCAGUAUGGAAAUGGUUUCAAGACAAGUACAAUGCGAUUAGGGGCAGAUGUUAUUGUAUUCACUAGGAAUCGAAAUUUGAAAACUGGGUAAGCGGAACUGUUUUCAUGUGCUUUCUUUUUUCUGAAAUAUUGGAAAGUGGGGAGUUUUUGCUGUUACAGCUGAAGUUAUGCAAACUUCCAUUAUGUUAGAAUACGUUUUUUUGUAUCCUGGGACACGCAAUGUGCGUUGAAGUGUUUUGAGGUGAGGUACAGAAAAUCUUGAUUUCGGUAUUGUUUCAACUUCUUCUGCUACUAGUAUUAUAUUGUGGCAAUCUGCUGCAGGAAGUCGACACAAAGUAUUGGGUUACUGUCUUAUACAUUCUUGAGGAAGACUGGACACGAAGAUACGGUAGUGCCUAUGGUAAGUUCGAGGGUUUUGUGUGCUGCGCAUUUUUUGAUCGUGGAAGUCAACCAGACUUACCUCGAGAUUCUACCAUGUUUAGAUAUUUCAUGGGCCUUAUGAUCUUACUGCGUAUUUGAUCUUUCUGAUGGAAAAUCUGUAUACUUCUGAAUUUAAAACUAGCUUUUGGGACACUGUUUAGUUACUCGUGACAUUCAUGCACCUUCAUAGUAGUAGUGCACAAGUAAAGUUACCUAAUAAUUGAUUCCCCGUUGGAUUUAAGCACUUGAAAAGCUAAUGCUAAAAUAUAGCCUUGAAGGUCCUAUACGAAAUAUAUAUAUUUGUAAUCUCUUUGAUUUGUCGUGUGUAAAUUGUCAGCUGGACUAUGAGUUAGAUGCACACUUGGUUAAGCCGUCAGUUCUGUUACGCACUACAAUGGACGAUUGGCUCAGCAAUCUCAAUACAAUUAUUAAGUGGUCCCCAUACAGUUCAGAGCAACAGCUCUUGAGUCAGGUACUGUAUUAUCAUUUGAACUUUUCUGGUGCUUUGCGUGAUUUAGGAAACUACUUGUGAACUCUCAAGCAAGGCUCUGGCGUGUAGUUUUCCAAUCUCCCACCGUCUUCUAUGAUCAGUUUCGUAGUACCGCAGUCUCAGUAGAAGUACCCGGUGACGUCAAGUGCCUUGAAGUGUCUUAAACUGUCUUGAUAAUACUUCAAGUGCCCUAAGACAAUUCAAGAUACUUCGCGUCAUCUAAGGUCAUUAAGUGACGUCUACUUCUGAGGAAUUACUAGGUUGCACUGGAUCUACUGCUGGUGAAUGACAACGGCUGUAUACUAACAACGUGCUUUUCUGCGAAUCAACAGUUCAAUGAUAUAGGUUGGCAUGGAACUAAAGUUAUCAUCUAUAAUUUGUGGCUAAACGACGAUGGCAUCUUGGAGCUGGACUUUGACUCUGACGAACAUGUAUAAAUCUGAUUGUAUCCCGUGUGCUUUGAACGUGUCCCUCAACUUUUGAUUUUGUUUUGCUUCAUGUAGUCUUAUUUAUUUAUUUAUUUAUUUAUUGCAACAUCAAAUAUGAAGUUGUGUUGUUUUGCAGGAUAUCCAAUUACGAGUGGCUUCUAAGGAAUUACCUAAGAAUCAUACCCUCCCAUCGCUUCUUUCAAAUGAGCAUAUCAGCAACCGCUACCAGCUUUCUCUUCGGGUAAUUGUCUAUCUCCACACAAGGACUUUGUAAGUGUAUUUUAGAUGCAAGUAAGACACUCUUUCGUAGUAGUCGCAAAAAUUCUGUCUUUCUCUCUUAUAUCUUUGUGUGCAAUAAGCAGUGGGAGUACAUGCAAAGAUAGUUGUUUCAAGUUUCGUGGACAACGUCAUCUCUUUGCGGAAUACUAAAUUUGCUGAAUACAACGUGUGGAUUAAACUUGCUGUUGCAGGCAUAUGCCUCAAUAUUGUAUUUAAAACUGCCAGAGCACUUCAAAAUCAUUUUAAGAGGCCAACCUGUGGAGCACUAUGAUAUAGCUGAGGAUCUCAAAUUCAAAGAGUACAUUAUCUACAGACCUCAGAUUGGACCUAGCAAGGAGGCCUCAGUGACAACCACUAUAGGAUUCUCAAAAGAGGCACCCAUGAUUAAUGUUCACGGUUUCUGUGUCUAUCACAGAAACCGACUUAUUAUGGUAUGCGUCAUCUAUUCUAUUAAAGAACAGUUCACGUUCAAGCUCUUGGUUCAUAAUUGAUAGAUGACUAUGGCACUCGAUUCUACAACAUGUUCUGUGAUUUUUGAUCCCUAUUGCUUAUUGUUUGGAUUCUCAUGGCCAAAAUUCUUGGUGGACAGCCGUUUUGGAAAGUUUUCCAAGAGAAUAGCAGUCGAGGUAGGGGUGUCAUAGGUGAGAUUUCUGCACUUCUGGACUUCUGAAGUUAGGAACCCGUUCUGAUGGAAUUAUAUGUUCACCUCUCUUCAUCAGAAAGUAAAAUGUAAUUAUGCGGUCAAUGCUGAACAUUGUAGAAUUCAUAGAAUUGGCAGUGCCCGUGGGUUGACUUGCGGGGCUAAACCAUACCCGAACUUUUUUCUUUUUUUCUUUCUCCUUUGCUUAUGUUUUCCUCCUCUCGUCGUCUAUCCUUGACAAAUGUGCUUAUUGUGGUUUGGUGAAGGAUUCUCUAGUAUCACAUGUGAAAGACCUUAAUUUUAUGUUACAAUUGCGUUCAGAUAAAUCAAUUUAUUGAAGUCAGUUUGGUUCAUCUCGUUGGCAGGUGUACUGGAGGCAAAUUUUAUGGAGCCUGCCCAUGACAAGCAAGACUUCGAAAGGACUUCAGUUUUUCUACGACUCGAAGGUCGCCUCAAAGCCAUGACAAUUGAGUACUGGUGUGGGCUUUUUCUACUUAUAUUUAAGCUUUUACUUUUUUUUUUAUUUUUAUAUUUGUUCCUUUUUUCUUAGGUGGUUCUGCUCCACGUUGUGGAGAUUCUCAUUUUUCAUUUUUUUGUAAUUUUUGUUUCAAUGCAUUUACCGUGUUGUAUUAUAGUUUUUCGAAUUUAUUAUGGUCUGAAUCUUUGGUCUGGACUUCAGGAAUUUACAUUCCCAUCUUAUUGGCUACAAGAAAACCAUUAGGCCCAAGCAAACUGCACCUCAACCUUUAGACACCUCGAGACCAAAUACCACAUCCUCCGCGCCUCUGGUCACUGCAACGGAGCCUUCUCCUACAAGUUCAAGCUCUAGUGGUCAGCCAAGAGCAUCGGGCCCCUCCACCCCUCCUAGAGCUGGGGUAGAAACUAUAGACGCAGACGGAACACUACAACCAUCAGGAAAUGGCGCUGCAACUCCUCUUACUUCCGUAGAGAGGAUUGCAGUAGGCAAUCCACUUCCGGAGAAAGUGAAGGUAGAGAAGGGGAGUCGAAAUCCUCCUUCAAAAAGAUCACGUGACCAAGAGGACAGUUUGGUUGAAGCUUCCAAGCGACAGCGGUCAAGUUCAGAGGCUGUUCCCUUGGCUUCACGCGGAGCUGGUGACAUAAUUGCAUCGACGCCGGAUAAUGGGGCCUUUGUAGUUUUGGAACAGCAGAAUGCCAUUCUUCGUCAGAAGUAACAUCCAUUUGACCUCGAUCUUACCAUUUCUGAGACCAAAUGGUUUGUAAAUAUGGUGUCCUAUUGAAUUUUGACAGUGAAUAAUUGUACACUCGUUUCACGCAUACAGUUAUUGUUUGUGCUUUUCAGAUGUGCGGAAUAUGAGUUACGUGAGCGACAUUGGGAGCAAAAGCUUCUUAUGCUAGAACAACGAGAGAAAGAUUGGGAGGUGAAGGUAAGCUUAACUUGCAACAGCUGAAAUUCCUAUGUGUUACAUCUCUUCUGAUUUUCCAUUUCUCAUCUUUGCUAUGUAUCUUUCUUCGUUGAAAUAUGCGUGGUGAAGGAGGGAUUAGUAUCUUGACAUACUAUAAGGGGAAGUAGCCUUCGCCCUUCAGUACAAGACUAAAUUAGCACUUUAGGAAGCUCUCUUUGCCAGCCUGAGCUCCACACAAUCUUCAAGACAUCUUUUCACAAGGAAUCCGCAAUCUAGUGUAGUGUUUUUGGAUUUAUCUUUGUGAGAUCCUAAAGUUGAUGCUUACUUCGAACUUUGACACUUCUAGCUGAAUUCAAAAGUAAACAAAAACAAAAUGCGGCUAGUGAAGUGUAGCUGGCUAUAGAUGAAUUUCAAAUGCGCUUUGCAAACAAAUGAUCGAGAACUAAAAGAAAAGUUCGGGUUUUCUGAGAAGUCAAAACAACCCUCAAGCUAAUUUUUUUGAUUUCAUUAACAUUGUUGGGUAUCCUUGAAGGUUGAAAUUCUCACUAUAAUGCACGCCUCUAACUUGUGUUGGUAUGAGUGGCUUUGAGACCUGUGUUGUGGGGUCCAAAAUUUUUGUAUGCAGUGUAAUAUUUUAGAAGUGGUGCUACUUGAUUAUUUUAUACCUAAUUUAAAAUCUUCGUUGAUUUCCUUGAGCCCUUUCAAAUGCAUGUUUUCAGGUAUCGACAUUGGAACGAGAAGUUGAGGAGCAGAAAUCUAAGUACGUCAUGCUCAUGAGCCAAAUGAAAUCAUUGAGUGCAACAGAAGCACAGGCUAGUAAGGUAUGAAUUCAGUCCUUACUGCCACUGGACCUUGAAUGUCCCUAGCUUUUUGAAUGGAGUACAAACAGAACAAUGUGCCAAAGCAUGCCUUUUCACUGACAUUAGGGGUUGGUUGUCAUUCUUGCAGAGAAACGGAGUUCUUGCAGCGACGACUGGCGUGAUAAAAUCGGAGCGUAGUUAACAGAUGCAGAAUGACUGUCUUUGAAAAUUCAUUCAACAUACUCUUCUAUCUAGCAUGUACUCUGAGGAACUCUUGACACAUUCCUUGGAGAAAAUUUGAAAAUCAAAGCACGUGAUGCGUAGAAAUGGUGAUGGGAUUAAAAACUCAGCAGCCCAUCAAUUGAGUUGCACUGAUUUAUGUAUGAGAUAGUAGAUCCCAGUAAUCCUGGGCAUAAUUUUUGUACUGUAGGAAAGAAGUGCCUGAUGUACUCCACGAUUUAGACUGAUUUUUGUAAAGGAAUUAUUGAACUUAAAAGCCACUUCAGUGGGAAAAAAAUUAUUUAUUACCCUUGAUGUGCAUUGUGGUUCACAUUUUUCAACUGUGUUGCAAGAUCCCACAAACUGUUUGUAGUGCUUUGGAAGUUUGUUUGAGAAUUUGAUGUGUGAUCGAGACACUAUCUAUGAAAGGAUUGACCAAUGAUGUGAAUGCCUUGUUUAUGAAAUUCUACCGCAUUAGUUGCUGAAAGCUUCCUUUCUGAUCAAAACUUACCUCCAAAGCUCUAUAAGUCAAGAUUGGCAUUAAGAAAAAGGCUACACUAGCUAUUAGCUUAAUCAAGUAGAUAAAUUUAUUAAUUGUGUUGGCGUGAACUGUGACACUUCGGAGCCUUAUGGAAAUAAAAAACCACGGAAAUUGUUUCCAAACAACAUAGAUGUUGGCCAUUCAGCCAAUGAGAAGAAACAAGGUGCAUAGUAAGUGCCUGGUCAUCUUUGAGUCCACUUAAGCUGUGUCAAACAUCCCCAACCAUAUUCGGCUGAAUUCGCUUCGGCUAAACUUGCUUUUAUUAGGUGGAGAAAAGACAAUUUGUCCCACAGGACUGAACUUAGAAGCACAUCCACUAUGACCACUUGUUAUGACCAUAUGGACUAAUAUGUAGAAGACAACACGGUUCUAUACAACAGGAGGUGUUGAAAAAGCCUCUAAUGUCUAACAUCCUGACAUUUGGACACUAAAGUCCAACAAUUUGACAAAACAUUUGCCAUACAAAGAUCCGAUAUGCAACACGGCCUUGUUCACCUUCCGAAAGCCUUCUAAUCAAACAAUUCUACUCUCAACAGUUUUUGAGCAGCAAAAAGCAAUAGUUCAUGUAGAGAAUAGAAGAGAUUGACAACUAAAAGCAUUCUUCUUGCAAGAAGCACCAAACAAGAGCUUGGUGUAAAUUCUGAAAGGUGGCAAACUAGACGUAGUCUACAUUAUGAUGCAACGACUCUGCUGCUCCUCUGCCCCUGGUGUCUGAUUUGGUAAUCUCCUCAUGUCAGGUGAAUUAGAUGAGAACUCAGUUGUGUCCAAGCCAUACUGCAGAAUACAGAGCUCAAGACUUAGAACAGGAAGAGUUCACCACAAAAGGACAUGGAAAUUUAAAAAGCCGUCAGAAUUUGGUAUCACAAAUUUCACGACAAGACAUGGACAUUCAAAUUGGAACAAAAGAUAAAUCAUGCCUUUUCCCGCAUCCUUGUGCUCCAAGCAUCACUACGAGGAGGUCGAGCUUCUGUUGCAGCCCCAGAACCCGAUGCAGGGGGAGGCUGAUUUGCCUGCCGGUCGACUACAGGUCGGCGGGGAGCUGACCUGGCCACCAUGUAAUCUUCGUCACUGUCGUAGUCUCUCCGUGCACUCGAAGAGAUAGACCGGAGUAUAAAUGCGAAGAAUAAGCCAAGUGCCUGCAUUGAACAAUACAUUAAGUCUGGCUGCCAAGAAUAUCAAGCAUUAUUACAGAUUGAAUGUCGACAUUCAUAUUGCACAAAAGCAAAAGAAUAAGAGAAAAUGUAUAGAAUUACAUAGAGGAUUCGACAGGUUUUUCAAAGGUUAAGCACGUGAGAAGACUCUACAUUAAAAUACUCGAGACCCUCUCAAACAAUAUCGCCGUGCUACUUCAUUUUCUAAGAAUUCCUUAGCACAACAUCCCAGGAGGAGUCAGAAAUUCGAACAGAAGAAAUCACAUAAACCAAAAAAGCAACAACCGAAGAUAAGUUGAAACACUCACUUCUAGGACCACCACACCUAACGAAACCCACUUGCAGAUAUCUAGAUUGUUCAAUACAAAUUCUUGAACUUUGUCCAACUCCCCGGUGGGAUCCUCUGGUAUAUCCUGAAACAAUACAUAGCCACUUCAGAAAAGUGCCGAUUAUCUCCAGAAAUACAUUGAAAGAGAGAAUCUGGCGAUGAACAUUCUCUGAGUGAAGAAGAGAGUCGAGCAGGAACCUCACCUCUCGCCAAUGCCGAUCAAAGAAAAGAGCUCCAGCAACUGCGAAUUGUGCCAAUAGAAGCAGAAUUUGAAGUACACUAUACUGUAAUUUUCGUUCAGGAAAACUUCACAAGCACAUCAAGAAUACAAUGGCAGUGUUACGGAGGGAUUUUAACAAACCCUACUCAAAUGAUAAAAGUCAUUUUAACAUGUUACAUCUAUGAACAUGAAAGGCUAGAAUAACGAGGACAAAAACUCUCUCCCUUCAUUUCUUUCAAAAAAUGGAACUCAAAUGUGGGAUACACAUGAAAGACAGAAGCUGUUGCUCAACUCAGCUGCAAUAUGUCCCGUCAAGGAGACAAAGCAAGUGAUAGCCCCGGCACCGAAGAAUGCGUAAAUAAACCUGCAUCAACUACUUCUUCAAGUGAGCGAGCAUCUUAUUCCCUAACUUGUCACAAUCAAGGCCAGAACGCGUUGAGGAAAUUACGAAAUACAGAGAUAUAUACGCACUUAGGGCUCAAACUGAGAGCAAACCGAGUGAAGGGUGGCAUAUACUGAUAAAUCGGACGUGUAACGUACCAAGGAGCAGGAAGUUUUGAUAUGUAUAAGCCUUCUUUCAAGAGAGGCCUUGCAAUAGGUUCCACCAUAAACCCUUCAGUAAGUUGAACCCCAUCAGAUGACAUACUUAUAUCCCCGCCUGAUAAAAGCGCAGGAGCAUUAACAAGUGUCUCUUGAUCAUGAGGGCCAAAGGAGCUCCAUUCUUUUAGCAUCCAAAGUGAGUAUACUAUCAUGAGGGCCCCAACCAACGUUACCAAAAAAUUGAUCAACUUCAGAAUACAUUGGAUGAAUCCCUGGCAGGACAUCUCGACUUGAAUUCUGGGUCUACAACAAGCCGCUCGCACAGGGAUUAUAUAUUUUUUACGUUAACGGAGACAUUUAUGGUGCCACCAGCUCUGCACGACAAAAGACAACAAAUUAGGCAACCAGUUCAUAACAAACACUCUCCAACCCCUUCGAAGUCACGGCUUCAAAUGAAUUGAGAAAUUAUUGACAUCAUCCGAGCUAGAAUCCAGGGACAUGCUCAUUCAGCAAUAAAAACAAACCCAAAAGACAUCUAGACUUGCUCACUACAGAAUCUAAAAUGAUAGUUGAGUUCGCCGAUACGAAAUUUACAACCGGCUUUCUGAGCAAUGAAAAGCUUAGAAAGCUCUGGAUUUCUUAAACACGAAGCAAAUCGCAAGCUAUGCUUGUGAUAACUGUCACCCUGAAAAUAACUUCCAACCCGCAAUAAACCCAAAAGCACUAAUCCAUCUCCUACCCACAUUGCCCUAAUUCAUCACUCAACAUGUUUCACACCCUGAGGCAGCUCCAGCUAAAUUCACAACAGCUGCAUCCCCAAAAAAACCCUCUUCCGCUCCAUCGAAACCAAAAAUCCCACAAACCACACGAACCACAGCUCAUUCCCACACCCGCGAUCCCCUGGUCUACGAAACACCCUAACAAGCAACUAACACCCACACACAAACGCCCCAAAAACCACCCGAUUGUCCGAAGGUUUUAACAGCGACUCAUCGACACCAGCAACAUCCUCCCGCACCCAUCCACACGGGUACCCAACAGCUACAGCAACGCAACCGAUGGCAUGUGCUGGGAGGCGAAAACAGAGAGACCAAGAGGCAGGAAACAGUAAGUCCGCCUACCAAGCCCCAAACUCUUCAGCGCAAGUGGAGUGGAGCUUUGGGUUUCCGCGUUCGUGAAAGCUUGUGCUUUGUGCUGCUUGUGCCCUUCGCCGUAGACCUCGGUUUGGCUUGGCUUGGCUCAGCCUCCCCUUUGGAUUCAAGCUACAAGAGCUGCAACAAGAGCAGUGGCAGCAACAGUGGCCGCGGUGAAGGGGGGGAGCCGCCGUGGAGGAGGGGGCCAAGGCGCGGUGGUGCCGAUGGUACCACGGCCAUAGCCGUCACCCGCGCCGCGCCCUUGGGUGACUCGGGCCCCACCGCACCUAUUUCCCGGUCACCGUUUAUUUUGUUUCAGGUUGUUGUUGUCCCGGUUCUGGGCUGUGUUCAGACGACACUAAAUAUGACUUGCAGGUUUUUAUGAAUUAUUUUUUUUAUUCUUGUCGCUGUUUAAGUUUUUUUUGGGUUCAAUUCUUCCAAUUAGUAUCUACAGUGUUCUUCUCUUGAAUGGAUUUUUUUUCUUAAAAAAAAACAGGUGAUUUAAAUGUUUUUCUUUAUUCUUUUUUUCUUUUGUUUCUCUUUUUUGAAUUAAUAUAAUGGUUUGUGAACAAAGAUCAAUGUAUUCAUUCAUUGUUCAUUGGAGAAUUUGUUGAAUGUGAAUGUUUACGUAUGGAGAUUUAACAAAGUUUAAAAAUAAUUUGUUGGUUUCUGUGUAAAGAUAGAUGUUUUUUUUAGCAAACCACUGAAUAGAUUCAAACUUGUUUAUUUUCCUUUUCUGAAUUCAGAAGAAGAGACAUGUGAUUAGUUUAGGAUCCAAGAAAGGUAGUGACUUUUACAGUUUUCAUUCAAUAAAUUACAUUACAUGAUCAAUUUUCAAAAAAUAUAUUGAGUUAUUUCAACUUAAAAAGACUUGUUACAACAAUUUUAAAAACAACAUAUUCCAGGUUUAAAACAACUCUUAAGAGUCCAAACUUUACCAUUUACCUAUCCAAGAUGAAAUAAAACGUGAAACAUUUUGAUUUAUGUUUUAAGUCUCUAAGACAAUCCACCCAAUUUAUAAAAUAUUUAUAAAUUAUUUUAAGAACUUUUAAACACCAUAAAAGAUAAAUUUCCCCAAAAUUGAUAGUUUUAAUGCCAUUACAACUAUGUUGAACUGUUCUUAAAAACAUGACAUGACAAAAUGAUGCCAGCCAAAUCACAACAACUAUGCAUGUUACAUAUACAACCAAAUUGCUGUUUAAAAAAUUAACAAAAAUGAACAAAAAUUACUUAAAAAUUCUCACAGAGAAUACUAUCACCAAAAAAUGCAUAAGGGGAGCCUUGUUGUCAAAUCAAAGUUUCUUAAAUCAAAAUCACAGUAAAGCAUCUCACUCUUAUAAAAGCAUAAUCAGUCACUGAAUGUCAAAAGAAAAUAAACUUGAUGAAUGAACAAGUCUAUGUAAUUGAACAUGGUGCCAAUGAUUCUCCCAACCCAAGAUCAGCUCCCAUUCACGAGUUUGCAAAUUCGAAUUCUAUUAAGCAAAAUGAGAAAAACAAAGCCCUAAAAUUAUCACCACCUUUCUGUUUAAUUAACCCAAACAUGGUGACAAACGCAGCAUCAAAUUCCCAAAACUAGUGAUUUCUCUUCCCUAAUGCAACUCCCUCCAACUCACAACUUGUUGCAUUCUUUUGUCACAUGCUUUGAAGAAUAUAUCAGUGGACUGCUCAUCUCUUCCUCGGAUUGUGUUAACUCAUUUAUCAACCCAUUUCUCAUGCGUUAAUUCACCAUGCAGCACAGCAUUCUUCAUAUAUAAUUGUAAUAAAGCAACCAUGAAAGCUGGCUCUGCUAAAUCUACCUCUCCACACAACGCCAACAUGCAUUUCCAGUGUGCUUUGAAAAUAGAAAGUAUGCGGGUUUAUAGUAUUAAGUGUGCGGGGGAAUGGAUUGGGAAACAGGCAAAACUGACGAAGGUGCAAAGCACAAUACCACCAGAUAAAUUUCUCAAGAGCAACAUUCCUCAUUGGAGUUGCAAAAAAUACCUCAAGAGAGUGUGGGUUUCGCGACUUCUGCUAUGGUCCUGCUCCACCGAUGUUAUGCAAAACCCUCUCUGAACGCGAGGAAGAUACAAUGCACGACGUUUCCUGAUGCUACAACCACCGGCAAUCAAAGAAAAAGCGAUUAGUGGGCUCGAUUGUGUGGAAUGAAUCGAGACCAAACCUCAAUGUUGGGCUCCGGUAGGUGUUCCUCGUACCUGCAGCGAACCAUCAGGACAGAGCACUAAUCACAAGGUCAGCAUCGAACAGAACCGAAACGAACCGAAUCGUAGAAUGUGGUGGGUUUUUGAGUGUGUACUGUUUUAGGAACCAUAGACCGAUCUGGUUGAACUUAGAGACACAUCUCGUUAAACAAAAAACUCGGAACGAUCCAGUAAAGAUCUCCACUAUAUCCGCACAAUUUACGUACCCAGCAUCCUUAAUGUCGUGGUGGGUGUAAUCAUCGUCAGCUACGGCUAGCUUGCACAUCAGGUCGGGGGCCACAUGCUUUGAUUCAAGAGCAGCGGAGACUUGCAGUGACAUAUUGAGCAACUUCCGAGUACAUGAUCUGAUAAGAAGACUUGAGGAGCUUUGGGGAAGGAAGGAUGAAAUUAGGGCAAACAGUAGCUACUGUUUUGAAAAUAGACUUGUCGUCAGCAGUAAGCUUUGCACAACCCCCGAGGAAGGCAAAGGAGGGGGUGAACAGCGAAAAGUCGCACGCACGCACACACGCACAUCCCCGACAUGAAACUGUCUAUAGAAGCAAGAUAUGGAUGCAAGAUAUAGUAUUCACUUAUAUGGCGAUGACCGUGAUGACCAUGAUUUUGAAUUCGUCACCACGGCAGUGGAUCAAUUGACGGGGGUCUAGAUCCGCAGCAUGUGACCGUGGGGGGGGGGGGACUGCUGGCACCGGCCUGUGAAAGCGGUACAACUUGCCCCAGUCUACGAUUUCGUGUUCUGACUUGGCAGAGAUGACCAUUGUGCAGCUUUAGCCGGCCAUGCGCCACGUCUUAAAUGGGCCCACGAGGGGGUGACGCAUGUAUG
rnacentral:lncRNA from 1 species